rnacentral:lncRNA from 1 species
UUUAUUGCACAAAAAUUGGCUGCCGUUGGAUUGGAGAAAAAAAAUCUGAUCGGAGAGCCCAGAGUGCGACACGUGGACUUUUAGUGGUACUGUAGCGCCAGACAUUGUAGCACUGCGGCACUGUAGCGAUGACGUCAGCACCAAAACGAGGGCUGGAGCUCGGGCCAACCUUGCCCUCGGGCCAGCCCAGGUUGCUGGGUCCCACCUUGCGCUCGGGCCUGGGCUGUGCACUGGAACACCUUUUUUUUUUUUUUUUUUUCUCCCCUAGCCUCGGGCUGUGCCGUUGGAGUUGGUCUAAGUGUGUAGCUAUGGAAUCCUAUCAUCCUAGGGUUUUCAAGUUGGUGAAAUUGGAAGAGAGAAAACAUCAAGCUCUCUCUCCUUAACCCCUUGAAUCUAUCACAUCAAGUGAGGGUGCUAGCACCACUCUUCACUUGUUGUCUACUCAUUCUCUCAUCUCAUUCAAUCCUUGGUGAAGAGUUUUGAGGAGGUGCAUAUCUUUGUACCUAUUGGAUAGCUACAAGAUGGAGAAUCAACAUUAAAAGGGAGAGCCAACAACAAAGGGACCACUCCCUCUACAUGAUCACCAUUCUUGGUUUCAAGAUUCACUCCAAGGGUAUGAACAUCUUAUCUUUCUCUCAAAUAGGAUUUAGAGAGUCUUUGAUGCACACUUUCAUAGACUUAUAAAGAUUGUGACCAAAUGAGACUUGCAUGAAUCCCUAGUUUAUUUAAUGCUUCCGUUUUUACUUUGAUUUCAUAUUAGAUAUGACUUGCUAAGUGAUUUAUAUUCUCAAAGUUUGGUUAUAGAGUUUUUAGAAAUCUCUACACAACACCAUUCCCACAAUAUUCCCUUCAAUCCCUUGAUAUUGAUUGUGACUCUUUAUCUGUUGUUUCUCUCAUGGCCAAGGUGUUUGCCCAAUCGCACCCCCUUUUUUGUCUAAUUGAAGAUUGCAAGUUGCUGCUAAACCGUGAUUAUGUUUACAGGGACGAAAUAGAGUUGCUGACCACCUUGCUAAUUUGGGGCAUGAAUUACCUUUUGGGCUUCAUAAUUUUGAGUCAGCUUCGACUUCUAUUUCGAAGAUUUUAUUGGACGAUGUGAUAAAAAGGGCCCUUGAAAGGGCUGUGAUUUGUAAGUUUUUUUCUUCUAGUUUCGUCUUCACUUUGGCCUCGUUGUAAUAAACAAAAAAAUGGGACAACUGACAAAUAAUGUUUACAGAUAUAAUUUACUAUGCAUAGAGAUAAUGACAGUGAGAUAUGAUAGCAAGAUUAAUGUACAGAAAUAAUCAAUUUCGUAAACCUUAUUAUAUUAUAUAAAUAAUUAUGUUGGAUUUGCAAAGCAUAUCUAUGCAUGUGUUUUUGCUUGUAAAAUGUCACCCACAUCAAUGAGAUGGAUAAAAUAGCCAAGACAUGAGUUCGCUCUCGUAUAGUUAAGUUUGAACCCCUUCACGUAAAUUAGAUUAAUUUAAAAUAUAUUAUUGCUCGUUUAAAAAAAAAAAAAAACUAAUGAUUCUCUUGAUUUGUUUUUUCAAUGCAUUACUCGUGUGUUAUUGUAUCCUUUUCGCACCAUCCGGAAGAAACAGGACGGAUAUAUAUUCCUAGACUGAGGAGGGAUUUAAAUAUAUGAAAAUGAAAACGAGACUUACCAAGUUUGGAGCUAGGAAAGCCUGUUUAUACGGAUUGAUUGAAAGCUUGAGCAAGAAUCUCGCACCAGGAAAAACUUGUGCAAGAAAAAUCCGCACCAGAUUUUAACAACAGUAAGGAAAAGCAAAUGGGUAGAAUUGAGGGAAGCCAUACACAUGGAUUAGGUGCAAAAUUUAUGAAUGAAGGUGGGAAACUUGAUGUAUGGCAAAGAUGAGAAAUUAUACAGUAGUAUGGUAGUACCACGUCUCAAUUGACAAGUGGUACUACAAUCCAUUAAGCUUGCAACACAUGGAUGUACUAAAUUUCUCUCUAACGACGUUUGUUUCUCCAAAACCUCCGUCUCUUACUUCUUUCUUUCUGCACUUUAUCCAUGAACACAUUGCAUAUGCAGAUCAAGUUUAGAGCACCCAUUACCUGUCAAAGAUUUUGAGAGAGAAUAACAAAAUUUCCAAAGGCCCAUUAAUUAGAGAUCUAUGAACAAAUUGAAGAACUUUGCCCAACAAAUCCAUGACCCACAAUCUUUGUUGGUAUAUCACACCAUCAUUUUACGCAUAUUCAUUACUCAACAAAGACCCAUCAAAGAUCAUGGGUUGAUUAUGGCUGAUUCCUAAAAUAAAAUAAAAAUUAUGGGUUGAAAAACACCUUCUCUUGGAGAAAGAAUAUAAAAAAAUCUAAAAAAUUUGGCAAUUUUCAGUGAGAGUUUGCGUCAAAUAAAUCAACCGCUAAAAGAAAUAAUCUUGGCUUCUCGCAUCAUGUAACUCCAUUGUUUUGCAUCGAAGCUUUACAGAGAUUUUUAAUUUGCUUUUUCCUCUUCUUAUUAAUAUUAUUAUUCUCUUAUCUGGUCCGCACUUUCAAACUUUUUUUUUUGGCAAUGUCAGCGCCUUCAAAACUUGAGCUCAGUCUAGGAAGAAUAACAAAGAAACCGAGGAUUGGAGAAGACAAAUGUUGUCACGGAGAAAUUUAUUACCAUCAACAUGUUGCAAGCUCAAUGGAACGUAGUACCAUGUGUCAAUUACUACGUGGUAUAAUAUCGUACUACUGUAUAAUUUCUCAGCGAUAACAGAGUAGCAUUCAGACACGUGGCUUGCCAAGCAUUAGAAAGUUGCUACUUCACCCAUAUAGGUGGCAUUCAAUAAUUUCACUCAAGAUUAUAAUUUAGGCAAAAUGUCAUUUUUCAUCCUUGUAAUUUCCAUGUUUUACUACUUCGAUCUCUGUAGUUUCAAUUCGUUAAUUUUGUUUAUAUAAUUUUGAAUCCUUCAUAAUUCAAGAACACGUUACAAAUUCUGUUAACCACGCAUAUCACGAGCAUCUUCGUUGCAAGGCCUAUGCAUUGUCAUUUCAGCGCCCCAUAAUAUUGUUUGUCAUUCAUAUUACAGUUUAGCCCAAACUUAAAAAAUAUAAAUAAAUAAAUUCAAUUUGUAUACCCAAAAAAAAAAAAAGAAUUCAUUCAUGCAUAUCAGGGAUGGGCAAGUCAGAAAUGAGUUGUAAACUUGUAUAGAAUAACUACCUUUCUUUUUCUUUGAUUCCUAUUUUGGACGAUGAUAGAUUAGUUAGGUUUUGCCACGAAGUAUUCUUUAGUAGUUUUUUAAAGGGUUUUCGACCGAAAUGGUUUUUAACUAUUGCUCCAAUAUUAUUUUGGUCUAUCAAUUAAAAUUUUCAUUUCAAUAGUCCUUCAACUUUUCAUUUAGCAUCAAACUUGUUGGUAACUGAAACCAAAAUUUAAAGGAUACUCUGUAUAUUGAAAGCUGAAGACUCUUUUAUAUUAAAUCAGAACAAGAUUACAACUUAAAUGGAAGCAAAGAAAACAAAUUCUAACUGCACUAUAACCACUAACACAACUAGUGCAGAUUUUGUGGACAUAACAACACUAAACAACGGAAGCAAAUUGUGAUCGUGGUGAGCAGACUCAACCACAUCCCCUACAUGCUAGGACUCUAGCUUGACUUGGUCUCUAUGUUACCAGGACAGCAUUAGUUAAUUAAAAGGAAAAUGCUAGGGAGACCAACUUUAGAUACCAACUUGUGUACCAACUCUCUAAUAGAGUGUGGGACCCAUUGUAUUGGUGGGCUCCACCUCUAUUAGAGAGUUGGUACACAAGUUGGUAUCUAAAGUUGGUCUCCCUAGCAUGACCCUAAUUAAAAACAUAAUUAAACAUAACUAAAUAACUCUUAACAAAACCGAUCCUACUAUCAAAUAUUUCGUAAAAUCGAGAGGCAAAAAAGUAAAAUAUUAUUUUAAAAAUUAAAAACUGAAAUGCCCAAUCAUCUAAAACCCCAACGAAAAACAAAUCCUUGACUUCCCCUUCCUCAGCAAGCAUGCACAGUGGCUUCCAUGGCUUCCACAAAAAAUCUAACUCAAACCCAUCACAAUCUUCUACCCAUUCACUCCCACUCAAAUCAAGCCCAUGAUCAUCUCCUUGUCUCUCUACCAUCAUCUCUUGCUGCUACUGCGAUUUCAAGUUAUGGGCUUCAACCAAUCCCUCUUUCAUUUCGGCAGAACCCACUCCCAAAUUCUCUGCAACCAUUGUCUUGUUUUGCUGCUCUUCAAAUUAUUGUGCUGGACUUUGGCACAACGCAGUGGUAAGCUUACAUUUGUUUUCGUUAUUUAUUUAUUGAUGGAGAGUUAAAGUAUUUGCAAAAGCUAAUGCAAAUUAGCCUUCAAAUUUCAUUCACCUCUAGUGGUGUGCAAUUUGUGGGAUGACAUUACUUAUCCUGCUCUUCUGAGAGAGGGGGGGAGAGAGAGAGACGUGCGGCUGCAGGUUAGGCAAAUUGGCGUGGGGUGGUGGCUAGGAUUUUUUGUGAGGACUGUUAAUAGGGCGGGCCAAAUAGGGGUGAUAAGGAAAUUAGGGUUUGUUUUUUUGUUGAUAAAAAAUCUAAUUUACCCUUAAAAUUUGAGCAUGUGAUCCAAUUUAACAGAAAAUGUAACAGAAGAAUCAAUUUGACACAAAAUAGAAAGUUGAAGGACUAUUGAAAUGAAAAAUUUAAGGUCCGUUUGAUAACCAUUUCAAUUUUAUUUUUUAUUUUUUGUGUUAGAGUAUAGAGGAAAAUGAGAGUGAUAAUGGGCAUAAAGAUGAAAUUGAGAAGAUGAUGAGAAUGGAGAAUGGGAGGAAGGAGUGAUAAAAGUGAAAACAAUUUCAAAUAUAUUUCAGUAUUUAGUUUUUGUUUUCACUUUUGUUACUCAUCCCUCACAUCCUCCCUUUCAGUCUUAUCUCCACUCUCAUUCUCACUUUCAUUCUCCCUUUUUUUUUCUCUAUACUCUAGCACAAAAGAUAAAAACUAAAAACUAAAGUUGAAAUGGUUAUCAAACGGCUGAUGGACCAAAAUGAUACAUGAGCAAUAAUUGGGAACCUUUUCCGUCAAAACCCAUUUUAAAAAAAAUCUUUUUGUGUUCAUUCCACGUUGUGACCAUAAAGAAAAAAGGAAACGCAUAUAUACCAUCGUAUACCAAGUUUUUAAAGUGAGAGAUUCCCUAACCCAAAAAGGAUUACCAGCUGUGUAAAUACACUUGAAAGUUGAAAAGACAUUUUACACUAAUUUUCCUCACUUGCAAUGCAAGGACAAAGUUUUUAGGCCUAUUUCCUUCCAAGGUUAAUCUGGUUUUCCCCAGGUAACAAACAAGAAAAGAAGAUUCAUUGCUCUCUCAUUCAUGUCGGCUUUCGCAAACUCAGUUUCAGACGAAAUGUCAAAAGAUUAACUUUGUUCAACACUGAACAAUUACAGCCAAACCAGAAGGAGCCUGAAGCUAUUCAACAACUCAAUUAUGGUUUUAUUCAUAGAUGUGAUCUGAGGAAAAUUCAUAGAUGUGAUCAAUACCACAAGCAAAGAGAUGUGCAGCAAAUCAAAACGCAUAUUGCACCCAAGAGCUGCUAAUAAUAAUUUUUUAAAAAUUUCUCAUCAACAUUGACCAACCAAAUCAAGCUGGCAAGUCAAUGUUGACUUUAUAAUAAAACUAAAACAAUGUGGAGUCAUUCUAUAGUGAGGGCUUUAUAUAAAGCAGUUCGAUGAGGUCCUAUCUAUCAACCGUUAGAUUUAUUUAAUUAAUUUAAUUAAUUAAAUGCUGAAAAGAUAAGGUCUCAUCUAAGAGCCUUAAAGUCCUCACUGUAGCAUUCUUGACGAAAGCAAUGUGAUUCCUCGACGUGAAUCGCUUUGAAUCAAAAUAUUCCAAGUAGGUAAGUGAAAUGGUAAAACUGGGCCCUCUGCCCCGCCCAAGCUUAAAAUUUCAGCCUGAGAGUUUGAGCCGGGUUGAUGCUGAAAUAUUUUUGCAUUUCACUAUGGGCUUUUGCUUGAUAUGCAUAUUAGGCCGAUUUAUAAUUAAUUAGUUUGAGGCUUCUCUAGAUUCCACCAUCCAGCCCAUUUAACAUUAAGGCUAGGUCCAGCUUUUAUAAAGGGAUGGUAUUCUUCUAUGUUUCUCCAAUGUAUACAUGAUGUGCCCAAUAUAGGGAAACACUUUUCAUUGUGUCAGUAUGUGAUUAGCCGGGAUAGCAAAACAGUGUUAUCUCCCUUUCAUACAAACUUUUCUGCCCAAUAUGAAGUAUACGUGUUAUAAUUCGUGUAAACUUGUAACAUCAUAUUGACAUGCCACAUUCGUUGGAUCACUCAAUAAUUUCCUGCAACUCAUCAUUCUCAAAUUAAUUUGAGCCUUAUGGUAUUCCCCAUCCUCAGCCAGCAGCUUCCAAUCCCAGAGAGAGUAAAGAAGAUAGUUUCCUAUUCAUGCAGCAGUUCAUAUUGAUACCUUCCUACCAGUUGAGAUUUUAGGUCCCCAUGAAUUUAGCAGCAGCACACAAAUUAUAUGUUUCCAACCAACACUCUAAAACUCUCAUUAGUUCUUAAUAAAAAGCAAAAAAAUAAAAAAGGUCUCUUCAGUCUUGGUGCACAUCUUCUGAAAAAGAAGCAAGAAUUUCCUUGAGCUGCUUGUUGUAAACGAAAGGUCUUUCCAUUUGAACAAGGUGGCCUGCCUCCUCUAUACAUUGCAGUUUUGCGCUGCCUCCUAAUUGCCUGUAAAUAUCAGAGUUUCAAAUUCAUUAUAUGUCAAGUCUAAAAUAUUUCUGUCACUAUCCCAAAUUCAAUUAUUUCAGCCAGUUAUUGUUUUGUAUCGAAGUCAAGUCCAGGUCAACAAAGGUAUUUGAACCCAUUCCACAAGGUAGAAUAACAUACAUUCUUAGGUUCCUGGCUGUUUCCAUGUUGAAAAUUUUGUCAUUCUCUCCCCACAAAAGAUGCACUCUCUGCAAGAAAAUGAAUCAUUAGCCUAUUAAAGAAAUAUGACUACCGCUAUGCUCGCUUCGCUAAUAUUUUAUCAACAAAAAAAUAUGACAGUCUUCGUUUAUUCAAUAAGUGUCUACUAACAUACAUAGUAUCAACAUGGCUCUAACUCAAAGGGAAAAGACUCAUCUACUCUUAAAUUUAAUGAAAAUAUUGAUAGAAGUAACGGUGGGACUAGUAAUCCAAACGAAACUAAAGUUAAAGAACUUUAGGUACCAUUUUGAAAAUUGAGGUAUUCAAAUACAAAUCCGGUCAAAGUUAGGAAACUAAUAAAACGAUUAACCCAAACUUCAAGUUAUCUGGAGACAAGCGCAAAAGCAACAAACCUGUGGAAAAUCAGCAAUAGUAAAGUCCUUGUCAUCAACUACCAAUGCCCCUAGAAGUUCUUCCUUCUCCUUUCUGUUGCCAAACAUAACCUGCAACCAUUCAUGGAUCAUUGAAAUGUUUUAGACUACCAGACCAUUUGCCCGAAAAUAUUUUUACUAAUAAAUUAUUAAUUAAAAGCUUUACCUCAAGGCAAUCUUUGUAAAUCCAAUCAGGGAGAUAAGGAAACUUGUAAGCAGCAAUUUCAAACAUAUUUCUCACACCUUUGACCGAGUCAGGAAGCAAGUAAUCAGGCCAGCAUUUGAACCCAAGUCUCUCAAGAGAAGCAUCACUGAUGGAUCUGGUCAAAGCCAAAACUGAACCAGUCGCCACAAUGGACUCAACCAAAUUGGGGUGCAACUCAGCCAUUUUGAACCCAACCAUCCCACCAUAGCUCAAUCCCACCAAGGUGCACCUCUCCACCCCCAUCUUCCUCAAACCCUUGGCCACACACUCAGCUUGAAACUCCGGUGACCUAUCUAAUUUAUCUGUGAUGGAUCCCCCGAAGAAGAGAAAGUCCGGGACAUAAACGGCGUAGUUUUUGGCCAAAGAUAGCACUUGAAGUUGCCAUGUGAAAAUACCAUCCAUUGCAAAGCCAUGAAGGAACACCACGGCUGGCUUCGAUUUCUUUGGUGUGUUUUCAAUUUUGUUGGGGAUAUUACUAGAGACCCAGAAGUUCAUGAUCGUUCCUGGCUCUAUUUCGACAGUUUGGGGUCUCACCCCAACUAGUUUCAUAAUUCCAUGCAGAAUAAACUUGUAUACUGAAAAAAUGUUCACCAUCUCUCUCUCUCUCUCUCUCUCUCUCUCUCUCUCUCUCUCUCUCUCUCUCUCUCUCUCUCUCUCUCUCUCUCUCUCUCUCUCUCUCUCUCUCUCUCUCUCUCUCUCUCUGGUGCACACAAAGACAGGCUAAACGCGGUGUUAACUUUAUAAGACUUAUUGGCAGCUGGCAUAUGUAAGGGCAACGUCUACGGUGGACUUAGCACACCGAUGCGUCAAUUUUUCAAAAUUGCCACAGCAGGUAGCAGGUAAUAUUAUAUAUAUUAUAUUUCAAAAAUAAAAAGAAAUAGAAAAGAUUAUGGUGGUGCUCUCCACACCUUAACAUAUCCAUCCAUCUCAACCAUAAUACCUAAUUUCAUUUGAGAUUUGUUUUUCUGAAACAGAAAAGCUUCUCUUUUAUCACUCUCUCGACGGCGACUAAAAAUCCACCCAUCUCAACUGCCAACUUCUCUAUUUCUCGACGACAGUGACUGAGUCUUCCUCCCAUUUACAGAUUGCUCAGCUCUCCUCUCUUGAUAGUGAUGUCUUGAUGCAAACUGCACGCACCAUCUUCGAUCUCAUCUUAGCCCAGGUAUGAUGUGUUACUGCCGUAUUUUCAAAUCUUGGACCUCAUCUCAUCACCCUCUAGCAAAUAUCAUUUUUCUUGAUUUUUGUUUUUUGUUUUUUGUUUUUUUUUUAUUCUCUUGUAUUUCUUGUUGAGCCUAAUAUUUUCUACAUUUAAUAUUCUGUUGUAGUUUUUGAGUUGAAUUAACUCUCAAGAUCCACUUGGUAUGAAAUUUUAGAUUGAAAUUCCAAUUUUUGGUGGGUCGGUUUCAAUAUCUAUAAAUUGUUUCUUUAUUGAACUGUAUACUAGUGUUUAAAUUAUAUAAUGAUGAUCUUCUUAUAAUUUUUGAAAUUCUAUUGAAUAUGAAUUUUUUUCUCUAAUUACCUUUUCCAAGGUCCACUUAACAAGCUUAGAUUUUUAGGUAUUUCUUGUCAAAAUUUCGUGAACUUUAUUUGAUUAGAGGGAGUAUGCUGAGCGAAGGACUACCAAGAAUGACUCAUAGUGGUCCCAACAAUGCUUCUCAGGGUGCCUUGAGUGUGCAUGACGGGUUCUCUUUUGGGCUAUUACUUAACCUGCUCGUGUUCUUGUGCAGGGUGCCUUGAGUUUAUAUUUAUUUUUCUGUUUGUCGUUCUCUGUUGUUUUGCUGGCCUUUGGUGUCAUUGGCUGAUGCUUUAAUGAAGCAAGCUUGAAUGACCAAAAAAAUAAAAAAAAAUAUAGCUAGAAAUAUGAAGAAGAAACAAUUUUUGUUUGGGGAAUGAUUAGAGAUUGUUUUAGUUGGUUUUGGAAUCUCUGAAUUUUGGAUUGUUUGAUUUUGGAGAUUUUUAUAUUUUUUAUAUUUUUUUACAAGUAUAUGGUGCAUAUGCUUAUAUAUGCCCAUAUCUAUCACAUAUAAUUUGGUUGUGUUUAUAUAAUCUUCAAAGAGGUUUUACCUGAAAUUGGAAAUGGUUUCUGCACAAGGUAUUGAGCAAUUUUCUUUUAUCAUUUCCUUUCCGUUAUUAUUUAGUUUCCAUGUUUCUGUGAUUAAUUGAAUAAUACCUCUUUCAUCUAUUUAUCUAUGCAAUGAUUUUAAUGGUUUCAGUUCUUGAUUAAAGAAUGAAAAUGCCAUUAAAAAUGCAAUUUGCAAUGUAUUAAGUUAUUUCCGUAUGCAAUUACUAGCUCCCUGUCUGCUAAUUGCGAGGAAUCACCUUCUAUGAGUUUAGCCACUAAUAACAUCGGGAAGUGCAGAUGAGGGUGUGGGGCGGUCAAUGUGAUAAAUGUCCAAAAAUGUCUCUCAAAUAAUUUUAAAUUUUCAAACUAGAGCCGCUAAUUACGUGCAAAAUGGCCAUGGCAUGCGGGUAACCGAUUCUUAUUUUUAUUAUAUAUAUAUUUAUAUAUUUAUAAAUACACAAUGAAAAAAUAAAAAAGAAAUCGCAUUGAAAACAUGAAGAAAAAAAUUCGAUUAAUAAUUGGUCGAUUUUGCAAAGAAGUAUUUAUAUGAUCAUAUGCUUGUGUAUGAUAAUGUUCUUUUGCUUAGCAAUAAUAUGUUAUAUUAUAUGCAAAAAAAAAAUACUAUACUUUAAAUUAAGAAUCAAUUUUAUAAAAAUCUAUAUUCUUAGAUUUUAUAUUAUUAUUUGCAAAUAUAAACUAUACUUUAAACUAAGAACAAGUUUAUAAAAAUCUAUAUUCUUAGAUUUUAAAAUAUUUGGUGAAAUAACAUUUGUAUAUAUUUUUUUAUGUAUGUUAUGCACACAAAAUUGUCAAUGAACAAGAUAUAUAUUUUAUAAAUGGUAAUCAAGAUGUUAUCCUUAUUACUUAAAAUUGAAAUUUAAAAUAACCACAAAUAAAUAAAUAUUUGACAUGUUAAACAUAUAAUGUUUUACUAACUACUUUUUGAAACUUUAGAUCAUUCUAUUAUUUUUCCUAAUUUUGUUCAUACCUAAUAUUUUUGUAUUUUACUAAAAUAUUUGAUUUUUUAUUUAUAGGAAUCAUUUACAUCCUAGUUACUGGUGGAAAAAAAACAUGGAACAAAUUUUUUAAUCCUUAUUAUUAUUAUUAUUUUAAUCUAAAUAUAUUUAAAAUUUAUGUUUAUUGUAAUUUUCUUUUAAUUUAUAUUGGUUUUUUCAGUUAAUUACAUUCUUACUUUAAGUUUUCAUAUACAUAAACAUCAACCCAAAAGAGAAAUUAAUAAAUAAUAAAAAACUAGCCUACUAUUCGUAUACAUUAAAUCAACUCAAAGGAGAAAUAAAUAAUAUAUAUAUAUAUAUAUAUAUAUACUAGCCUCUUUGCACGCGCUUCCGCGCAUGCGAGAGGUUUUUUUUAAAAAAAUUUAAAUUUAUUUUAGAAUUAAAAAAGAUAAUGGAUAUUUGUGUUCCAUAAAAAUAGGACCCAUUAUCUGAAUUUUCUUUUAAUUUUAAUUUUUUUAAUACGAAAAAUUGUGAAUUUACUAUAUUAUCCUCAUUUAAUUAAUAAUUUCAAUUCUUAAUAUUUGCAUUAACCAAAGGCAUUUUCUGGUAUUUUGAAUGUUUCAUCAUUCUCUGUCUUUUGCUUUAUAUAGAUAGAUAAACAUGCCUUUUGUCCUUUUUUUUAAGCCCACGUUGGUUGUCAGCUUUUUUGGUUUGUUUUUUCUCUUUCUUCCUUCACCGGUUUUAUAGGUUGGUGGGAUUCAAUUUCAGUGUUUGUUAAGAGCCAUAGAUUCAAAGUGAUCUAAUGGCUGAAAUUUGGGCGCAUCCAUGCUCCUAGUGCAUGGUAGAAUUUUCGAUGUGAAUAAUUCCCACAAUCUUUUGUUUAUUUUGAAAGGACAACUGACAGAUAAUGUUUAGAGAUAUAAUCUACUGUGCAUAGAGAUCUGGACGGGAUAGCAACAUUAAUGUAAAGAUAUAAUCAAUUUCAUAAACCUUAUUAUAUUAUAUAAAUAAGAGUCCCGAUCUCUUGGACCACAAGAGUCCAAGAGAUUGUGGUCACCCACCGUUGGAUAUUAAUUCAAUGGUUCAAAAGAAUUUCUUCAAAUGAAUGCAAGAGUGAGUGAACUGUUGAAUUUACAUACAACGGUGAGUGACCACAAAUCUUUUGGACUCCUAUAGUCCAAGAGAUCAGGACUGAUAUAAAUAAUUAUGUUUGAUUUGCAAAGCAUAUCUAUGCAUGUGUUUUUGCUCGUAGAAUGUCAACCACAUCACUGAGAUGGAUAAAAUGGUCAAGACAAUGAGUUCGCUUGGUACAGUUAAGUUUGAACCUCUUUCACGUAAAUUAGAUCAAUUUAAAGUAGAAUAUUGUUCGUAUAAAAAAAGAAAAACUAAUGAUUCUCUUGAUUUGUUUUUCAAUGCAUGACUCAUGUGUGCUAUUGUAUGUUUUUCGCACCAUCCGGAAGAAACAGGACGGAUAUAUAUUCCUAGAUUGAGGAGGGAUUUAAAUAUAUAAAAAAUUAAAAACUGAAAUGCCUAAUCAUCGAAAAACCCCAACCAAAAAAAAAAUAAAAAAUCCGACUUUCCCUUCCUCAACAAGCACGCAUAGUGGCCAAUCCUGGGCCCAUUAUUCAAAGGGGCCCCAAAUUUUUUAUUAUUAUAGUAAGUGUUAUAUUAUAUUAUUAUAAAUUGAUUUAAUAUUUUUUCAUAAUUUUUAGGAAUAGGAUAUUGAGAUGAAUCUGAAAUUUUGGAACAAAGAAUCUAGUGGCGGAUCCAGGAUUGGAAAGCCAAUUGGGCGGAAUUUACACAUUAAACUCGACGGUAUGAGUGAAUUUCAUUAAUAAUCAGAAAAAGAUACACCUAGUCAAGGGGGACGUAAUAAGCCUUACCCUCAAAUACAUCUAUACAUAAAUACAAGCUUAACAACAAAAACAAAAACCACAAGUAAAUGUAAUACAAAACAUCACUAGUUAAAUCUAAAAUUUUACCUUGCGAGACUUAAAAGUCUUAAAUUCCUCAAUUAUUAAUGCAUUAGUGAUACUAUUAGCAAACUCUCUUUCAAUGUGGAGGUCAUGCAAUCAGCAAGAAACUCUUCAGCUAUGGUGCUUCGAAACCGAUUCUUAAUAAUUCUCACACAUGAAAAAACUCGUUCCGUUGUUGCUGUAGAAACGGGAAGAGUCAACACUAACCGAAUCAACCUGUUGAUCAAACAAUAGUUCUCUACCAAACUUGUUUCCACUAAUUGUUGACAUAAAUGAGGAAGAGUGUUGGUUUCCUUAAAGCAAUGAAGGCGAUGUACAUCAUUUUGAAAAUACCUCAAUUCUAUUUCCAAAUCUUUCAACUCAUUUGGAAGGAAAUUAGCAUGAUAGAAUUUCUCAGCAAGUUUACAUAUAUGAUCAAUAUUGAAUGACUUGAAUGAAUUACGAGGAUCCAAUGCUGAGCUAAGAAUAAGAACUUCAAUUGUUUGCUCUGGAAAUCUGUCAUUUAACUCCCUUAACAUGCAAUCUAUAACAUCAUUGAAUACAUCAACGCGAUAGUAAUGCUCAAAUGUAAUAAAAUCUUUUUGUUGACAAGAACAAUGUGUGCCCGUCAUAUAACGAGCACCCAUAUCAAGAACAUCAACACCAUGUAGUUCACAAAAUGAUACCACACUAUAGAAUAAAUCAUCUCAGCCAUGUACCCUCAUAUCUUGAAGCUGCAUUUUUGUGUUUUCAACAAAAUUUAAAGCACUUACAAUGCCUUGAGUUUUGGUCUGAAAUACUUGACAAAGAAAAUUGGUCAAUCCCAAAUUUUAUCCAUCAAAACUAAUGAAAACACAAACUCAAAAGACAUCAUAGCAAUAUAGUUACUCUCAACAUUGCCACGAAAUUGUUGGUUAGGUCCAUGAUCACUGAUCUCUUGAAUAAGUAAUUUAGUCUCUUUAAAUAAACACAUCAAACUUGUAAUAGAGGCAUAAUGAGAGCCCCAACGAGUGGCUCCAACUCGUUUCAAACUACGAGCUUGAUUAAGUCCUCUACCUGUCUCAAGUUCUCCAGAAUCCAACAACCCAUUGAGUUCAACUUUUCUAAUUAAGUUUAACUCACUACGACGCUUAGCAGAAGUACUAAUAAAAUUCACAAUGUUAGUCAACAUUAAAAAAAACCUCCAUAAAACUUUCACAUCUUUAGCUACACCAUUUAAUGCCAAUUGCAAGCGAUGAGCAAAGCAAUGCACAUAAUAUGCAUAUGGACAAUCUUGAAGAAAUAAUGCUUGUAAGCCAUUCCAUGAACCACGCAUAUUACUAGCACCAUCAUACCCUUGACCACGCAUGUUUUCCACUAGAAUGUCGUUAUUACCAAGCACUUUGCAUAUCACUUUUUUAAGAGUCAAGGCAUUAGUGUCUACAACACUCACAAUAUCGAAGAAGCGCUCACGAAUAAAUUCAUCACAAUCAACAAAUCUUAGAAUAAUAGUCAUUUGUUCCUUACCGGAUUCAUCAAGUGAUUCAUCAACUAGAAUACAAAAUUUGUUCUUCCCAAGUUCCUUACAAAUUGCCUUCCUCACCUUAUUAGCAAAAAUAUGUAAGAUUUGCUUUUGUAUGUCAUGCACAAUGUAUUGAGCAUUUUGAGGAGCCUUAUCAAGGACAACUUUCUCAACUUCUAUAUUCAUUCUUGCAAAAGACUUUAUGAUUUCAAUGAAAUUACCCCGAUUAGAUGAGUCAAUAGAUUCAUCAUGGCCUCGAAAAGCCAAUGCUUGAUUUGCCAGAUACCUAAUGCCCUCUAUUGUGGUCGUAAGUCGCAAUCGAUUUUCCAUCAUUUGUUGCUUUGAUUGCUUUUCUACCACUUUUUCAAUAUGAAGAUGUGGAGUUUUUAAGCUAAUCCACUUUUGCAUAGCAAGAUGAUGUGGUGAAUUUAACUUGCCUACAUGAUGUUGAAAUGCACAUUGAUUCCCACCAAUUCUCUUCCAUUUUUGACACCCAUCAACAAUAAAGGUUAGGUGUGACUGAUUCAUGUCAAAAAUGAAACAAGGAAAACAAAAUACCUUAUUCUUAGCAACUGAAUACUCAAGCCAAGUGAAUUGACCAAACCACUUUUUAUUAAAGCGACAAAAGUUCCGCCCUUCUAAGUGGCUUGGAUAAUCUUCUAACUCGGGUUGACAUGGUCCUAAAAAAAUAUAUGCUAUUCGCACAUUAUCUUGUUCAUUCACCGGAUAUUUGCAUAUUAGACGAUGUAAUCCAGGAUCACGCACAAGAUAAUUGAUAUUAAAAUCAUGAUAAUAAUCUACUCUUUCAAAUUCAAUUCUUUCAACUUGAGGCUUGAUAAUGGGACACUCGGGAAGAUUUUGCCCAUCACAUAUUGGAAUAGAUAAAGAAGAGCUAGAAGACAAUGUACUAGAUGAUGACCCAUCAUUCUUUUUCUUAAAAAAAGAGAACAAGUUUUUUGUUCUCUUGGGAUCCGAUUGUGAUCCGACAUAAUAAAAGAUAAUCUAUGAAUAACAUGUAAAAUAAAUAAUUUAAAUCAAACAUACCAACAAAAAAUCAAACAAAUUUUAAUAAUAAUAGCAUCUCAACAAUAUCAACAAAGAACAAAUCAAACAUUGAAACAUCUCAACAAAAUUCCUAAAAUCAAAGCCCUAAUUAAUUUCAACAAAAUCACAAAAUUAUAAUUCAAUCUCUACAUAAACCCUAGAAUAUUGAAUUUUAAAUUAAAACUAUAAUUAAAGAUAUAUAGAAAAUGAGAGAAUUAGAAAUUACUUCUUGUUGUAGAAAGAAGAGGACAAGAUUUUGCCAAGUUGCCCACUGCCCAACCAAUAUAAUAGUAAGAUGCAGAAAAUAAAAAGGGCAAAAGGAAGCUGUUGUUGUCGUCGGGUCUGUAGAAUAGAAGAGAGAAAAGCUGUGCCAAAAGAAAAGAGACAAAAGUUGGGACCACUUUGAAGUUGGAUGGGCGUGUGUGUACAUUGGGUUAGCUUUUUAAGUUUUUAAACUUGAGCUGCCCAUAUAACAUAUAUAGGUUUUUAAAUAAUAAAAAAAACUUUGGAUGGGCGGGCACCCACCCUGCCCUUUACAUAGAUCCGCCACUGAAAGGAUCCAUGACGAGAGUUUUAAAAGAAAUUCUUUGAUAUUGGCUUGACUUGCAUUCUUGAAAUUCUUUGACUCACUAGUAUAGUAUCCAUAGUUGGACAUUUGUUUUCAUUAUUUAGGAAUAUGGAAGACAUUGCUCAAAGUCUAAAAAUAUUUUCGAAUAAAUACUUUCUCAAAAAACCCAAUGCUGUAAUAAAACUAGAAUAAUUAGAGGAUGAGAAGUACCACUGUAAUAUUGGGAGUGGAAUUAUAUUUCUCUUUGUGGUGUUUACACUGACAGAAUUUCUCCUCAGAUAGACUCCACUCUUUCUCUUCUCUCUGACUCUCACUCUUUCUCUUCUUCUCUUUCAUAUGUUUACAAGCAAAUAUAAUGUCUAUUUAUAGGCAAAGCAAAUGGCCUUUAAGGGAGACAUAAUGAUUUCUCCCCAACAUCAUUAUCCUAUAUUUUGACUAAUACCCUCUAGCUAUAUCUCCAUCUUUUGACUAAUGCCCUAUAGCUUUAUCUAUGUGGGCUUCAUUUCUUUAUAACACUCCCCCUUGAAGACCACAUGUCCCUAGAUUGGUUGCCUCAUUAAAACCUUGCUUGGAAAAACCCAGUGGGAAAAAACCUAAGCGAAGGAAAAAGAGUACAACUUUAUUUGGGACAUAAGGGUAAUGCGCUCAUGUUGCCUCGUUAAAACCUUGCUAGGAAAAAAUUCGGUGGGAAAAAACUCUAAUCGAAGGAAAAAGAGUACAACGCGCAUAUGUCCUAUGUUAGAGGACUCUUGAAUGCUCCUCCUGAUUUUGCAUGCUCCAACUUGAUUUCUUGCGGAGUUGUCGUAAUCCGAUGUCAUGCACUAACUUUUGGAAUGUACAUUUCGGCAAUGAUUUAGUGAAGAGAUCUGUCAGGUUAUCGCUUGAGCGGAUUUGUCUGACUUUGAUUUCUUGACUCUUCUGGAGCUCGUGUAUAUAGAAAAACUUUGGUGAUAUGUGCUUAGUCCUGUCACCCUUGAUAUACCCUCCUGUGAUCUGAGCAAUACAAGCUGCAUUGUCCUCAUUCAGGAUUGCUGGAGUGUCUGUUGCUGAGGGUAGGGCACAUGUGCUUCGGAUGUGAUGGAUCACCGACCUUAAUCAAACGCAUUCACGAUUGGCUUCGUGGAGGGCAAGUAUUUCUGAGUGAUUGGAAGAUGUGGCCACUAGUGUUUGUUUCGUUGAGCGCCAUGAGAUUACAGUUCCUCCACAUGUAAAUACAUACCCAGUCUAUGAUCGUCCUUGAUGUGGAUCAGAGAGAUAUCCUGCAUCAGCAUAACCAACAAUACUCUGGGCGUUGGUCGAUUCACUGGAAUAGAAUAAGCCCAUGUUUGAUGCCGGUCCAAUGUCGCCUUGUUGGAGCAGAACUGUACCUUACUAACAGAUUUACUGAAAAUGAUGUCUAGUCUGGUACAUUGUGCCAGGUACAAUAAAGCACAUAUUGCACUAAGAUAUGGUACUUCUGGACCAAGGACCAUUUCAUCAUCCCCUUUUGGACGAUAUGGGUCUUUCUUAGUGUCAAGCGACCGAACGACCAUUGGAGUGCUAAGUGGAUGGGCUUUAUCCAUGCCAAAUCGUUUCAAUACUUUUUCAGUAUAAGUUGAUUGAUGCACCAAAAUUCCAUUAGCACUAUGCUCAAUCUGCAAGCCAAGACAAUAUUUCCAAGGUCUUUCAUCUCAAACUCACGUUUGAGAUAAUCAGCAGUCUUUUGAAGCUCUUCAGAAGUUCCAAUCAAAUUCAUGUCGUUGACAUAUACUGCCACUAUCGCAAAUCCAGACUCUGACUUCUUAAUAAACACACAUGGGCAAAUAGGAUGAUUUGUGUAUCCUUCCUUCAGUAAAUACUUACUGAGACGAUUGUACCACAUUCGUCCAGAUUGUUUUAGCCCAUAUAAUGAUCUUCUCAAUUUAACUGAGAACAUGCCCCGUGGUUUAUUUCUGGCUGCUUCAGGCAGCUUAAAUCCUUCUGGAACUUUCAUGUAUAUAUCUGUAUCCAAUUCUCCAUACAGAUAUGCAGUAAUGAUAUCCAUGAGUCUCAUUUCAAGUUUUUCUAAAACCGCCACACUUAUUAAGUAACGGAAUGUAAAUGUAUCCAUUACUGGAGAGUCGCGCUUUAUACAUUGAGAUCUCAUUUUUCUCAUUGCGCUUUCUUGUAAAUACCCACUUGUAACCUACAGGGUUCACAUUGGGUGGAGUUGGAACAAUAUGUCCAAAAACACUCCUUUUUUCCAAAGAAUUUAAUUCUGUCUGGAUUGCAUCUUUCCAGUUAGGCCAGUCUUGCCUCUAUGUACAUUCAUUAAUAGAGCACGGCUCAAUAUCAUCAUCUUUUAUGAUCUCAGCAACCACUGAGAAUGCAAAUAUAUCAUCGAUGAUCAUCUCAUUUCUACUCCACAAUUCAUCAGUGGACGCAUAAUUUAUGGAGAUUUCUUGACUUUCAGGUACAGUUGCCGCUCCAGGGGCACUUGUCUCACCAAUGACGUUUUCCUUUUCAGGAAGUACCUGUCCCUCUUUGGUGGUAUUUGAAUUAUGAAUUGUGGGCUCUUUAUUUAUUUCAUUUAGAUUCAUUUUGUCCAUCAACUUCCUCUUUCGAGGUACUGAAUCCUUUGAGCCUAGUGGUCUGCCACGCUUCAGGCGUGCAACAGAUGAACCAUUUGCUGACACAUUGCCUUGUCCAUUAUGGACAUCAAUCCGUGCGGGUGCAUUUGCAGCUGGGAUAUGAGAUUUCGUCACCUUUGCUACAUCAUUAAAUGCAUCUGGCAUCUGAUUUGCAAUACUUUGGAGGUGAACGAUCCUUCUCACUUCGUUUUCGCAUUGACCAGUAUGAGGAUCGAGAUGAGACAAUGUGGAUACAUUCCAUGAUAAUUCAUGUCGUUUUUCAGGAAUGAGUUUGCCUUGUUCUUUAGACGCAGACUUUUCUCCACCUAAUGAUGGGAAGAUUGUCUCAUCAAAAUGACAAUCUGCAAACCGUGCGGUAAAAAUAUCACCCGUCAGGGGUUCCAGAUAUCUGAUGAUAGAUGGUAAAUCAAAACCAACAUAAAUUCCCAAUCUGCGUUGAGGGCCCAUCUUAGUACGUUGCGGUGGUGCAAUGGGCACAUAUACCGCACACCCAACAAUUCUUAAAUGUGAAAUGUUUGGUUGAUUCCCCAAUACGAGUUGAAUUGGAGAAUAUCGAUUGUUGGCGACGGGCCUCAAUCGCACAAGUGAUGCUGCAUAUAAAAUGGCAUAUCCCCAAGCAGAAACUGGCAACUUUGUUUUCAUUAGCAAAGUGCGUGCUAUCAACUGAAGGCGCUUAAUUAAAGCUUCUGCCAAGCCAUUUUGAGUAUGCACAUGGGGAACAGGAUGUUCAAUGUCAAUGCCUAGUGACAUGCAAUAGUCAUCAAAAGUUUGAGAUGUAAAUUCACCAGCAUUAUCGAGUCUGAUUGACUUAAUGGGAUAAUUUGGGAAUUGGGUUCGUAAUUUAAUUAUCUGAGCCAAAAGUCUAGCAAAUGCCAUAUUCCGAGUAGACAAAAGACAAACAUGUGACCAUCGGGUAGAUGCAUCCACCAAGACCAUAAAGUACCGAAAUGGUCCACAUGGGGGAUGAAUAGGUCCACAAAUGUCCCCUUGAAUUCUCUGCAAAAAUGAUGGAGACUCAACAUCAACCUUUGGUUGUGAUGUUCUGAUCACCAACUUCCCUUGUGAACAAGCUUGGCAAAAGAUGUCACUUGAUAACAUAACGUGUUUAGUCAACAAGGGAUGUCCUCUAGAGUUGGUGAUGAUUCUGCGCAUCAUGGUGGAUCCAGGAUGACCCAACCUGUCAUGCCAAAGCUUAAAAGCAUUUGAGUCAAUAGACUCUUGGUCCAUGACACUAUGUGCCUCAAUUGUCCGUAUGGUUGUAUAAUACAACCCUGAUGAGAGCGCACAAAGCCUCUCCAGUAUACGCUUUUGGGUAUCACUGGAGGUAAUGCAAAGAUAUUCCAUGUUUUUCUCUUUCUUUGUUUCAACAUGGUAGCCAUUCAAACGUAAAUCUUUGAAACUCAACAGAUUCCUUCUGAAGUUAGAUGAAUACAAAGCAUCUGGAAUGGACAGUAUUGUUCCAUUUGGUAACAUAAUUUGGGCUAUUCCUGAGCCUUCAAUUAGAUCUGCAUGACCUGAUAUAGUUGUUACCUUUGCUUUUGUAAGUAUUAAUUUUGAGAAAUACUUAUGAUCUUGAAGGAUCGUAUGAGUAGUCGCGCUGUCUACGAGACAAAUAUCUUUGCCAUAGCCUUUGUUUUGAGGGCAUCCAUAAUUUACAUCCAUGCCUUCAAAUAAGCUGAAUCAAUAAAGAAGAAAACAUUACCACUUUUAUUGGAUUGAAAUGAAAAAUUAAACAACACUUCAGCUAAUACAAAUAGUACAUUAAGGAAUUUAAUCUAAUUCGGACUCAGAAGCUUCAUUCCCUUUUUCAGUAACAAAGUCAGAAACAUCCAGAUGCGUCUUGUUUAGCUGACGCGAUAUUUCUGAUGAGCCAUCUGUGGCUGGUGGAGCAUGAUCAAUGUAAUUUAUCUCCACUUUCAUGUUCUUAAGUGAAGCUUGAUAGAGAUCCGCCAAAUGCUUAGGCGUACGACAUGCGCGCACCCAAUGUCCCUUUGCACCACAUCUGUGACAAGUGCUUUCAACAUUUCUAGGCACAUGGCUCAUCUGUGCCUUUCCCUUAUUACGGGAUGUAUUUUUGCCAUUCGUGGAUGGACCGCUCCUUGGACCUAAACCCUCUGAACGAGCACCACAAUCUUUUCUGCUUUCUUGCCAGCGGCCACGCUUGCCCCCUCUCCCACGUUUGUGGAUACUACCACGAGAUGAAGUGGCAUUCACUUCCUGAGAUGCAGCAUUUAUUUCGGGAAGUGGUGCUGAGCCUGUUGGGCAAGAUUGGUGAUUCUUUAAUAAGAGCUCAUUAUUCUGCUCAGCUAACAAGAGGCAAGAUACAAGUUCCGAGUACUUCUUGAAACCAUUAUGUCUGUAUUGCUGCUGAAGGAGGACAUUUGAAGCAUGAAAAGUGCUCAGAGUUUUUUCGAGCAUAUCCUCCUCAGAUAUAUUUUCCCCACAUAGCCUCAUUAAUGAGGUAAUUCUGUGCAUAGCAGAGUUAUACUCGGACACUGACUUGAAAUCUUGAAAUCUCAAGUGAGUCCAUUCAUAUCUAGCUCUUGGGAGAGUCACCAUCCUCUGGUGAUCGUAUCUUUCACCUAGAGCUUUCCAUAAAACCAACGGUUCAUCAACCACCACAUAUUUGCUCUUCAGCGCUUCAUGGAUGUGGCGGUGAAGAAAGAUCAUGGCCUUCGCAUUCUCUUCAGGCGAAGCAUCAUUCUCAUCCACAAUUGUUUGUCCGAGGCCAUUGGCUCGUAGAUGAAUUUUGGCAUCCAGGACCCAUGAUAAAUAGUUGUCCCCGGAAAGGUCCAAGGCAGCAAACUCUAGUUUUGCGAAAUUUGCCAUUCGAAACUUUAGGCUCGAGAUCUGGGACAUUAAGCCACUUAUUAAUAGGAAUUUCAGGCCCUCAUUAUUCAGGUAUAUUAAUUGAUGAUAAAAAUAAAGUGUUAUGAAUUUGAUGGUAUGGACGAUAAACCCGCACCAUACCUUAAAUAAAAUUAAAUGUACGGUAAAGUAAAUUGCUUGCUGUAUGGACGUUAAUUCCGCACCAUACUUUAAAUAAAAGUAAAUAUGCGGUAAAGUAAAUUCAUAAAGUAUGAGGGUUAAUUCCACAUCAUACUUUUAAUAAAAGUAAAUGUGCAGUAAAGUAAAUUCAUAAAGUAUGAGGAUUAAUUCCACAUCAUACUUUAAGUAAGAGUAAAUGUGCUUGUAUGGGCACUAAUUCUGCUCCAUACUUUUAAAUAAAAGUAAAGGCAUGGACGAUAAACCCGCGCCACCCUUUUAAAUAGAUACUGUUGUAUGGGCAAUAAUUCUGCUCCAUACAUAAAAAUAAAGGCGUGGACGAUAAACCCGUGCCACCCUUUUAAAUAAAUAUUGCCGUAUGGGUAAUAAACCUACUCCAUACCAUAAAUAAAAUAAAUAUGGGGAUAAAAACUUCCACCUAAUGUAUAUGAAGUGCAUAAUAUAUCAUAUAUUGUGGGCAAUAUAACUGCGCCACUAUUCAAGAUAUAAUAUAUGGGUUUUAAGAUCACACCAUCAUUUUAUUACAAUAAUUUGUGUUACAACGCGAUGGGUAAAAAAAAAUUACACCACCAUAAAAUAACAGGACGGGGUAUAAAAACCACGUCAUUCCAAAUUACGUUACAAAGAAGUAAAUUGAACAAGCAUGGAUGAAACAACAUAGAAAUUGUGAGAACACAAAAAAGAAAGUUUGCAUGUCGUCGUAGUAGUAAAGUGAGAGUAGACAUAUGACAGAGAGGAGACAGAGAAAUAACCACAUAGUGUUGAGUUGGGAAAAAUUCAGAAAUAAAAAGGAGAGACUUUCGUGCUGAUAACGUGUAAUAAAACUAGAAUAAUCAGAGGAUGAGAAGUACCACUGUAAUAUUGGGAGUGGAAUUAUAUUUCUCUUUGUGGUGUUUACACUGACAGAAUUUCUCCUCAGAUAGACUCCACUUUUUCUCUUCUCUUUGACUCUCACUCUUUCUCUUCUUCUGACUCUCACUCUUUCUCUUCUUCUCUUUCAUAUGUUUACAAGCAAAUAUAAUGUCUAUUUAUAGGCAAAGCAAAUGGCCUUUAAGGGAGACAUAAUGAUUUCUCCCCAACAUCAUUAUCCCAUCUUUUGACUAAUACCCUCUAACUAUAUCUCCAUCUUUUGACUAAUGCCCUAUAGCUUUAUCUAUGUGGGCUUCAUUUCUUUAUAACAAAUGCUUAGUUGAUAAAACAAGAAGUAUACUAGUAUUAGUGAUUAAUGUGUGUAGAGCACACUUUAGAUUUUUGCCAUGGGCCUUUGAAAACUUAGGACCGGCCCUGAUAGUGGCUUCCAUUGCUUCCACAUAAAAUCUAAUUCAAACCUAUCACAGUCUUCUACCUAUUCAGUCCCACUCAAAUCAAAUCCAUGAUCGCCUUUGUGUCUCUCUACCAUCAUCUCUUGCUGCUACUACGAUUUCAAGUUCUGGGCUUCAACCAACCCCUCUUCCAUUUCGGCAAAACCCACUCCCAAAUACUCUGCAACCAUUGUCUUGUUGUGCUGCUCUUCAAAUUUAUUGUACUGGAAUUUGGCACAAUGCAGUGGUAAGCUUACAUUUUUUUUCGUUAUUUAUUUAGGGUUAAUCAUUUUAUUAGUCCCCUAAUUUUGACUGGAUUUACAUUUGAAUACCUCAAUUUUCAAAAUGGUACUCGUGGUCCUUUAACUUGAGUUUCGUUUGGAUAACUAGUCCCACCGUUACUUCUGUCAAUUUUUUCGUUAAAGUUAAGGGUAGAUGGGUCUUUUUAAGUUGGUUUUAUUAUCCCCAUUCUACAACUUGUCUUCCCUCUAAAAUAGACCUUGGAGAGCCUGCUGCCAAAAAUCUAAAGAACCAAAAAUUGCAAUCCGCUUCUGCAACUCGCAUAUUGGUUGAGUAAAAGUUGGAAUCGUCAAGAUUGGAAGCUUGGAGAGCAGAUUACUUGCCUGCUUCAACGCCUUUCCUGGCCUAGCCGCCGACCCGUCCUCCACCAUGGCUGUAGGCUGUAGGCUCUAGUGGUGGUUCCAGUGUUCCUUUCAAUUGAUAACUUUUUGUAUUGUUUUAGGUUAGUAGGAGAAGCCAACACACAUGCGACGACAAUUUCUUAUAAUGAAUUAUGGAUUUAGAGGCACUCUUAUUCCAAACCAGUAAUGGUAAUAUGUGGAAAGGUAAUAUGGGGUAUGUGUUUGCUUCUUCAAUGGGCUAAUCGGGUGACUAAAACCGUUGAACAGAUGCUUUAAAACAUUUCCCCAUAAUGGCAAUUCCCCGUAAGAAACACCCACACACAUACUCCUCUCUCUGUCUUUCUAUUUUGCUGCAUUUGGUUUGAAAUGCUGAGGCUUGAACUGGUUUUGUUAAGUUGUUGCAGUGUUGGAUCUGGUUCUUUUAACCAGGCCUCAAAUGGGUUUAUGAGUUUUCUUAAAUUUGGUCUCUGAGUUUGAAGGUUUCCUGCUAAAUUUUCAAUUUUUAGUGUUGGCUUUGUUUUUAUGUGCUUAUACCUGAAAUGGGUUUUUGAGCAUUUCAAUGCUGAGAUCUAAUUUCUGCAGAUUUACUGGUCACAGUGAGGUUCAAGAUUCUGUGAGUUGGAUUUGGUAACCUACUUUUGUACUUCAUAACAGUUCAGUUGAGACUGAGAGGUUAAAGCAAAAAUGGCUCCAAGCUUGGAUUUUUCCAGGUGGUGGGCAAAGGGCAAUACAAGGGUAAUCCAGUGGUGGUGACAAUGAAGAACUCCAAUUACUCUGUGCUGGAGAUAAAAGUUUUUUUUGGUCCUUCAAAACCAACCUGAAAAGACCCAUCUAUCCCUAAAUUUAACGAAAAAAUUGACAGAAGUAACGGUGGAACUAGUUGUCCAAGUGAAACUAAAGUUAAAGGACCGCGGGUACCAUUUUGAAAAUUGAGGUACUCAAAUGCAAAUCCGGUCAAAGUUGAAGAACUAAUAAAACGAUUAACCCAUUUAUUUAUUGAUAGAGAGUCAAUUUAUUUGCAAAAGCUAAUGCUAAUUAGCCUUCAAAUUUCAUUCACCUCCAGAGCUGUGCAAUUUGUGGGAUGGCAUUACUUAUCCUGCCCUUCAUCUUGUUUCCAUUCUACAUACUCAUGUAGAGAGAGAGAGAGAGAGAGAGAGAGAGGUGUGCAAAUAGGCAUGGGGACUGUUAAUGGGGCGGGCCUGAUAGGGGUGAUAAGGAAUUUUUUUUUGGGAGGGCCCUAAACCCUAAAUCCUAAACUCUGAACCCUAACGGUGUUUGUGUUUGUUGGUAAAAGUCCAAUUUAACCCCACAAUUAGAGCAUGUGAUCCAAUUUAACGGAAAAUGUAACAGAAGGACCAAUUUGACAUGAAAUAAAAAGUUGAAGAACUAUUGAAAUGAAAAAUUUAGAAUUCAUUUGAUAACCAUUUCAAUUUUAGUUUUUAAUUUUUCACUUUUUGUGCUAGAGCAUAGAGGAAAAUGUGAGUGAUAAUGGGAGUGAGGAUGAGAUUCAGAAGAGGAUGAGAAGGGAGGAUGGGAAGGAGAAGUAACAAAAGUGAAAACAAUUUCAAAUAGAUUUCACUUUUGUUACUCCUCCCUUACGUCCUCCACUCUCAUUCUCACUUUCAUUCUCUCUCUUUUUCCUCUAUAUUCUAGCACAAAAAGUCAAAACUAAAAACUAAAAUUGAAAUGGUUAUCAAACGGGUUGGUGGACCAAAAUGACAUUUGAGUAAUAGUUGGAGAACCUUUUCAAUCAAAAAACCUUUAUAAAAAAAAUAUGUUCGUGUUCAUUCCAAGUUGUGACCAUAAAGAAAAAAGGAAACGCAUUUAUACCUUCGUAUACCAAGUUUUUAAAGUGAGAGAUUCUCUAACCCAAAAAGGAUUACCAGCUGUGUAAAGACACUUGAAAGUUGAAAAGACAUUUUACACUAAUUUUCCUCACUUGCAAUGCAAGGACAAAAAUUUUAGGCCUAUUUCCUUCCAAGGUUAAUCUGGUUUUCCCCAGGUAACAAACAAGAAAAGAAGAUUCAUUGCUCUCUCAUUCAUGUCGGCUUUCGCAAACCCAGUUUCAGACGAAAUCUCAAAAGAUUAACUUUGUUCAACACUGAACAAUUACAGCCAAACCAGAAGGAGCCUGAAGCUAUUCAACAACUCAAUUAUGGUUUUAUUUCUAACUGCUACCAAUAAAAACUCACUUCAACCAUCUAAGAUGUCAUGCCAGGCCCUACAAUAACACUAAUCUAUUGUUUGGAAGCAAUUCGAAGAUACAACCUGUGCCACUUGCAAAAAAUAUACAGAUGAAUACAAAUCCGCACGUCCAUAACUGGCAAUCAGAAACGAAUGACAACAAGAGGAGUUAGGUAACACUGCACAUCAGUGGGGAAACGAGUAGAAAAAUGUCACUUUCAAGCAAUCUACACACGAAAUGGAAAUAAAUCUCACCUGCGUCACUAGAAGAUAAACCCUUGUCAAAGGCAAGGAAUAUUCGACUUGCAAGACCAGCAGAGAUAUGACUGAUCAUAGUUCACAAAGGACGGCUUCCAUGAACCCAAUUCCAGGCCAUAUGGAAGUUUCUUGAGAGCGUUUGAAAGCCAUUUGGAAAUAAAAUUCACUAAAACUUACAACUAUACCUUUUGUUGGCUUCCAUAUGCUUAUCUGGAAAAAGAUAAUGACACUUAAUUAUCUCAAUGCUAAUAUUUUUUACAAUGGAACUUAUACAUUGAAAUUCUUUCAAAGAAAUGAUAUCCAUGUACAUUUAGCUUUUCCACUGCCCUCCAAAGCUCUGCAGGAAAUCAUAGUAAUCACAGUACGAUUGCAUUUGGUACAACAAAUUAUCUAAACAUCAACGCGCAAGGGCUACGCGAAUGAGGGAUCUCAAGAUUUCAAUGACCAAAUAACACAUAACAUGCCCAAUAAAUCAAGAAUUAUAAAAAAGGAAAAUUAUUGAUAAAGGGGGCAGAAAAAAUAACAAGAUAAGUUGACCAAUUAAUCCAUCAAUGUUUCCUUCCUUUAAAUUGAGUCCCUGACCAAAUUCUGGCUGAGCUCUGCUAGACAACAGUAUCCACAGGGUACCUGUCAAUGCAAUCUUCCCAUGGACUAUGAAGAGAAGGUUUUACAUUCUGAAGAGCCUCCCAGACUGCACUGUUACACUUGAAACCACUACCAAAAGCAAUCUGCCAGACACGGUUCCCCUUUUGCAUCCUCCCCUUUGCCUCAGUAUAAGCCAACUCAUACCAAAUUGAACUCGACGAGGUGUUACCAAACCUGUGGAGUGUCAUCCGAGAUGCCUCGACAUGAACUGGUAGAAGCUGCAAGUUCUUCUCAAGCUCAUCAAUCACAGCCCUCCCACCAGCAUGUAUGCAAAAAUGAUCAAAAGCAAGCUUGAAAUCCGGGAUAUAAGGCUUGACUUUCGCAUUGAACAACUUCUUUGCAACCAAAGUAGCAAAGAAUAGAAGCUGCUCACUUAGAGGCAGGACAAGGGGACCCAAUGUUGUGAUGUUAGUCUUAAGAGCUCCACCAGCAAUUGCCAUGAGAUCCUUCGACAAUGAAACCCCAGUUUUCCCAGUAUUAUCCUGCUCUUGAUAAACACAUCUAAAUGCCUUAUCAUCAGCCCCGCGAUGAGUCCUCACAACAUGCACAAGCUUAUACUUUGCCCGACGCCUAUCCAACGACUUGUUCGAAAGCAAAACUGCCGCCCCACCAACACGGAACAAACAGUUUGGUAUCAACAUGGAUUUCUUGUUCCCAAAGUACCAAUUCUGAGUAAUAUUCUCAGUGCUAACAACCACCGCAUAAGCGUUCCCGUGAACUUGCAACAUUUCCUUAGCAAGAUCAACAGCUAUAACUCCAGCACUACACCCCAUACCCCCCAAAUUAAAACUCCUAAUAUUCCCCCUCAAUUUGUACUUGUUAACAAUCAUAGCAGACAGUGAAGGGGUUGGAUUAAACAAACUACAAUUCACAACAAGAAUGCCAAUGUCCUUAGGCUUAACAUUUGUAUUAGCAAACAGAUUAUCCAAAGCACCAAAAAUCACCUGCUCUGCCUCCUCGCGAGCCGCCGCCAUGGACGGCCUAGGCGGAAGGUAAUGCAUUGCUUCAGGGACAUAAGUCUCCUCCCCAAGGCCAGAGCGCUCAAGAAUCUUGCGCUGGAACUCAAGUGAAGACUCGUCAAAGUCCCCAGUGAGCUUCGAAUGCUCCAUGAACUGCUGAAAUCUCACUUGCAAAUGCGAAGGCGGCUUGUAACACGAGUAGUCCACAAGGUAAACGGAUCUCGGGCGGGUCAUAAUGUAAACGGUGGAUCCAAAAACAAUUACAGCAGAGAAAAUAAUGACACUGACCAGAUUGUACUGGAGCUGGAGCCAGAGGUGGUGAAUGUCAUCUGGGUUCAUCUGAGAGGCUUGAAUGACAACGACCGCCAUUAGAGGAACUGAGCAGAGAGUCAAAAGGUGGGUUAUCAAGUAAUGGUAACCCAAUUUCACAUACUUCAAGUUCACGCUUUGUAAGAAGUCUGGUAAUCUACGGCUCUGGUGGAUCUGAACUCCGCCAUUGACAAUGGGCUCAGAGCUCAUGAUGGGUUUGAGAAAUAGGCACUUGGGUUUGAAACUAUGGGGUUUUCUGAAGUGGGAUUUCAGUGGAGGGGCUUCAGAGGGUUAUAUAUAUGGUGAACAGAGGGAAGUGUGAAGGUGAAGAAAACGGAUCUGAGUGAAGAAAUAGUAGGGUUGGUAGUUUGAUACAACAAGAACAGCGACCAAGUGAGAUUUAUAGACAAGAGAGGUGAAUGAAUAGCACAGCAUGAAGAUUGUGACGUUGAUAGAGAGAGAGAGAGAGAGAGAGAGAGAGAGAGAGAGAGAGAGAGAGAGAGAGAGAGAGUGGGUUGGUCUGUUGUUUUGCGUUUGGUUCUGCCACACCUCCCCCCUCUGUCUCUGUUUGGUCGAAGAUUUAGAAUUGAUUGAUAAAAUUUGAGGAAAGAAUUUAGGGGGUGACUGGAAUCUUAAAUAUGGGAGGGUAUUGGACGUGUCCAGUAGAAACGCAAUGAGAGAGAGAGGAGCGGAAGCUUCAAAGCGAUUUCUCUGGACGUCCUGACCUGUUUGACGGCUUAUGAUAAAUGGCCUAAAAGAGCAUUUCUAGUUAUGCUCCUUAUUUUCAAGUAAAAUUUGAACUAAAAAACUACAAAGUUAAAUUAUAGUGUUCCAUUGCUAAAAUUAUGAGCUUUUAGCUCUCACACCAUGCAUGCACUCUCCUGCUAAGUCCCACAUUAUAAUCUUCUAUUGUUGUUCAAGCACCACUUGAGGCAUCUCAAGAGCCACUUAAGCAAUCGUAGAGCCGCAAGAGCUUAGAAACCGAUUUCACUCCGGUGCAGCCGGUGCUCGGAUUAAGGAACGGAACUUACUAAUUUGAAUGGGGAUUAAUAAUGUGGAGAAAACAUAGAAUUUUUUUAUUUUUUAUUUUUUAUACAAGCAAGUAAGAGGAUAACGAUUUAAACAUAGGACCUUAAGUGUUAUGGAUAAUUAUUCUUAACCACUUGAGCUACAAGUUCUUUGCGGGAAAAUAUAGAUGUUAUGAGUAUAAUGAGUUGUUACAUUUCUCUACUUCAUAUGUCACUUUGGUGCACAUAUAUGAAUAUGCUUAAGGAUGAUAAUAACGGUACUCUAAAUAUAUGAUAAUUGAAUGGAUUGAAUGAGCCAAUGAAUAUAAAAGCAACAACAAAUCAAUAAAGACUUUAAAGUUUGAGCCAAAUUUACAACUAGCCCUAGAAAACUUUAUUUAAGGUCGAAUUCUAAUCAUCCACCAUAUCGAAGCACAUGCUUGGGCAAAUGAUUAGAUCGUACUCCACUACCUCAUUAUUAUUAUGGCUGGAUAAUCACAAUAAUUGAGAGUCAACUUCAUCUCGAGUUUUCAUAAAAUUUGAAAAAAUUCAAGAAAUUUAAUGCUUUUUAAAAAAAAUAAUAUGGAUAGAGAAAUAAGACAGGUGAUGAAAAUAAUAACAAUCUUUUUUUUUUUUCUCUUAAGAAUUUCUCAUCAGUCAGCAUUUUUCAGCUCUAGGGACUAAAAUGACAUUGAAAAAAUAGUCAUGUGGGAGACACAUGACCCGUUAAUAAAGUUGAACUUCUCACAGAAGUCAAUGUUCCAAAGUGGCAAAGAAAUGAAGUUCACGCAAAUAACAUAAUAAUAAUUCAUUAAUCGAUGAGUGUGUUGACCACUCUUUGCACGUUCAAAUAAAAACGCAGAAAUCAUGUGGCUCAUUAUGUUUUCAAUCAUUUAGAUUUUGGUCGGUGAUAUCUUUUGGUUGGAUAAUCUUGUGGAAGAUAUUUGGUGCGUUAUAUAUUUUGCACAAUGGGCCUACUGAUGUUGACCCAAAAAACAUGGGCCUACUGCUGGUGCGUGUGUAUUUUACAUAAUUGGCCUACUGCUUAAGAUUUCACAUGACGAAGAAUUCUAUAAUGAGCGCCUUACAUAUGUCUUUUAGUAAAACUUUUUCUCUUAAUCGUUAAAUCAAACUGGUUAAUCUAAUUAAAUGGUUAAGAGAUAGAACAUCACCUAAGAGCCAUAUAUAAAACCCUAACUAUAGAAUGACUCUUCGCAUGACAUGACUUAUUGAUUCUUUAGUUGUUAAGAAUAGUUACCUGCAUUUGAGGUCAAGAGGAACAAUAUUCUAUUUUAAUUUAAUCUAAACUACGGGAGAGAAAUUUAAAAUUGUGUGCAGAGUAGGGAGUACAUCUACUUAAUAUUGCUUGUAUUUAAAAAAGAACUGUGCAUAUACUGCUUUUGGCUUUUACUACCCAAAAAUUUAAAGAAGAAGAGCGUUCUAUUUGCACCAAAAAAUUUGUUCAUUGUUCUCAGCAUCCAGCUAAAUUUUCAAACUUUCCUUGCUCCCAUCAUCCUAUUAUGCUUUUUUUUUCUUCUCUCUUUAUUAAUAUGGAAUUGAGAAUGAAAGCUUCGAAUUUGAGACAUCUUCUGACAUUAAAAAGCCAAAUACCAAUGGACUUAAAAUUGGUCUAUAACCCUAACAGUUAUGUUCAAAUUUUAAACUAAAAAGAACUAAGGAAAAUAAAAAAAUUGGGCACCAAGUGUAAUGAUCAAACUUUCAGGUGUGAAAAGCAACACUGAUAAGAAACACCAUUAUCCUUCAACAAAAGGGGCUUGAUAUCAAGAAAGCCCAAAGAGAAAACUUGCACAACAGGCCGUCUCGGUACCCCGUUUGGCUUUGUGACUUUGCCACCAAUACUUCAGUGCCACGUUUCAAUCCUGCAACGGGCUCUGACCUUCUCCGUUUUCUUGGCAAAUACUCUAACUCAUGGCGGUUCCCCUUGUACCAACCAGAUAUAAAUACAAGACCCUAUUUUUCUUCUUCCUCAAAACAACAAAAAAAAUAUUUUCUCAAUCUAUUUGCAAUUUACAAUUUCACUUGGUUUCUUUGUGAUCAAAGGUAUUCGGUUCCGAACUUGAAGCUUUUAUUCUACUGAUAAGUGAUUUUUUUUUUUUUUAAAUAUUUGUUUUGCGUGCCAGUUAUAUGCCCAUAGAAAGCAGACUUCGCCGUUGAUUUAGCAACAAUUGUUACCAAUUUCUUCUGAAAAAACUUUUCGUUUACCUUAGUUUUGAAUCAGAUAUUAUUCUGCAGUUUUGUGUUACUGUGAUAGCUUCAUUGUGGCAUUACUUCAAACACUUGUUGUGCGCUUUUUAGAUUUAUAAAUGUGGAGCUGAAACUUGUUUGUGUGGCAUUUUAUUAUGCUUGUGUGUCUGUCCACAUGCUUGCGAACUGUUGUGACGUUCAAUCUGGACCAUGUGUUCAACAAAAAUCUACCUGAUCACAGUCUGAUAUCAUAAAAUGCUAAACAUUUCAGACUGUCUUGAUAAUUGAACAUGCACCUUGUUGUGGGUGUUGGUUUUUAGGCUCUCUUGCUUUUUUGAUUGAUGAGGGAAAACCAGUUGUGCAUGAUGUUAAUAAAAUUUUAUUCGUGAUUGCCCACUUUUAAUAAGAUGUAAAAUAGUUUUGUUUAUGCAUCACAAGCCCAACACCGCUGAAGAAGUUGACGAUUUCCUUUGUUUGCUUUUCUUAUGGAAGGAAAGGUCUCCUUUUUUGAAGCUUUUUUGAAGAUAGUCCUCCUUGUUGCACAGAUGUGGCUAUAGAGGUUGUGAUAAUAAUGAACACAUUGAGGACAUUUGUGAUCUAAUUUGAUAUACAACCUUUGAAUCUCAUAGUAGUGCUAUCAUGAGAAAUAAAAGGAACCCUCCAUUUCAUUUUGGCUCUAGUGUGUUCAUGAUGUUGUGGUAUGAGCUAAGGGCUCGUAUAUCUAAUUACUUCCACUCCAAGUUUUUUAUUUAUCCUUUUAAUAUAUGUAAAAUAGUCCUGAAAAGUGUUUUUCCUUUCACUUAAAGCUAAUGAUUUGCAUCAAUUUUCUUCCCUGCAUCUUGAUGAGAUAACUGAAUUUCUUGCGGUGGCUUGUUCUGGCUAGCUAAGACUCUGGGUUUAGUUUAAAUUUGUUGCUUUUCAUUGUUUUCAAUUGUAAUCAUCUCAUCCAAAUCUUUUGUAACGACUGAUGUCUGGGUCAGGUGUUACUGAGAAUGGAAUCACAGAAAAGUCAACAUGAACAACAGCCAUCGCCUGCUGCUGCAACCCCCUCCACCACUUCGUGUCGAAAGAAGAAGAGCGAACAAGCCAGUUUCUUGGAGGAUGUGAAGGAUCAUAUUGAUGACUUUAUCCAUGCCUCUAUGGAUGAACACAAAACUUGCUUCAAGAAGACCAUGCAGAAGGUUUGUUCCCACUUCACAUUAAAUGCUAAUAUUGCUUGUUCAGAAAUGUUUUCGUAGGUUAAUUGGUUUGCUUCUGAUUCUGAUUGGAUUAUUGUGCAUUCAUUUUCAGAUGUUUGGCAUGUCAAAGAUUGUCGCUGAAAGGAGUUCCAACACCAAGGAAGUUGAAAGUUCUCUGCCCCUUCAAACCACAGUGGCAAAAUAGAAUAUCUUCUGGUGUACAAUUUGUUAAAAUUGUGGCACUGCAGUUUCAGUUUGACGAACGAGAAAAUUUAACUUUGUAAGGUUAACUGGUGACUAUUAUGAAGCCGAUUACUUAGUGUUAUGACUAUGUUCUUGUGAUGUAUUUAGCUUUGCUACUAUUUUAUUUUUUUCUGUAUGUGCCAAGUCAGUGUUGAAUUUGGUCAGUGAUCAAUUAUUGAGUAGCAAAACAAAUAGAAAAUUGACCUCCUACAUGAGAUUAAAACAGGGCUGCAUUUUUUGUUUCCUCGUACGAUCAGCUUGCUCUUUCAACAGGGGGGAAAUUUCAUCAUUGUGAAACUUGUGAAGUGGCAGGGCUGCUACUUGAUGCCACCAUUUUCUCCCCCCAUUUAUAAGCUGUGCUUGGGCGAAGUUUUUGUCUAUCAUUGGCCUCUAUGGUCUUCUAUUGUAGAAUCUGUCAGGGCCUGAGCGCCCGGUAGUUUGUUAUGUGGCGGAUCUAAGCUGUUCGAGUCUGUCUUAUUUUCAGGAUAACAGCCAUUAGAUUUUGGUAGGAAUUACUGCAAACUCACCUCAUAGGUUGUAGGGACUACCAAAUGCAGAGUUGAGCAUUAGAGGUGAUAAAUUGUUUGGAAAAAAAGAAAAAAAAAAAAAAGAGCGGGAAAGGGUGGUGGAAGGCAUAGGGCAAAUAGAGAAACCUUGCAAGUUGCAAAGGGCAAAAGAAGGGACGGGGGAAUUGAAUGGGACCUCGUCCAGCAUUGGAUGACGGAUACGACUAGAUUAAGAGCGAGCUGGUGAAUGGAAACACAAACGUAUCGUAAAAUAUGGGGAAUUUUGUGUGUGUUGAGUACAGGGGAUUGAGGGAGGGGGUUUAUACAAAUAUUCAUUGGGUGGUCUGGAGAUUUCGAACCUCUACCCACAUGAGUUAGGGGUGGCAAUUUCGGACACGACUCAAAACCCGCACGAGAAACUAACGAGUUCAACCCGCACGAUAAAAAAACAGGUUAAUUUCGGGUCAACCCGUUUAAUAAACGGGUGGGUUUUGGGUCAACCCGCUAACCCUCUAUAAUACUUAUCUAACCCGUUUAUUAAACCCGUGUACAACCCGCUAACCCGCUAAAAAAUAAAGACAAAUGGAGACUUCAACACACACACACACAAGGGCUUUUGAACCCCUAUCAUCCUCAUUUCUCUCAAACAUCUUAUCCACCAUGCUACAAACAACUUUGUGAUUUUAUGGUAUGACUUUUGAUAUUUAUAAUGUUUUUUUUUCUUUUCUUUUUUUGUGUUUUCCUUUCUUUUCCGUCUCUCUUAUCCUCUUUUGUUUUUUUUUCCUUCUUUCUUCUUUCUCCUUUUUUUUUUUCCUCUCUGUUCCUUUCCUCUUCUCUCCUCUUUUUUUUUUCUUUUUUUUCCUUCUCUUUAGUUUUCUCUCAUCUCUCUUUUUUCUUUCUUUCUUUCCUUCAAUCUUCUCUCCUCUCUCUCUCUCUCUAUUUUUUUUUCUUUCUUUUCCUUCUCUCUUCUCUCCUCUUUCUAUCUUUUUUUUCUUUCUUUUCCUUAUAUUUUCUCUACUCUCUCUGUUUUUUUUAAUUUAAAUUUUUUCGGUUGUGAGUUUUGUAACAUGCAUGUUAUUAUUUAUGAACCCGUUACACGACUCGAAACCCGCACGAUAAAAAACUACUCGAACCCGACACGACGCGUUUAUUAAAUGGGUUGGGUUCGGGUUGACCAUUCUUGACACGUUUAUUAUCCCGACACGACACGACCCAUUGCCAGCCCUAACAUGAGUAGAAAGGUGGAAGAGCUCAACCAACUGAGUUAUACCCCACUGACAUAUCGGGAUUUAUUUUAAUACAAAAAACGUAAUCACUUUUGGGCUUUCAUGAGCCAUAAUAAGGAGAAUUUUGGGAUUUAACUCAUCCAAGCGCGACUCUAACUCACGCGCAUUCUACUUAAACCCUAAUCUUCCCCUAACCAUCUCACAUUUCUUUCUCUUUUGAACUUUUGUUUUCCGGCGGCUGCGUCACUCAUAGUGCAUCAAGAUAACAAACUUUCCAUCAUUCUUUACAAAUCAACUCCACCUUCUUUAAGGUACUUGUGUACUUUGAUUCCUUUCUUAAUUUUCACUUUGAUUCCUUUCUUAAUUUUCUCUUUGAAACGAUAUCUUUGAAUUUCUAUUUUCGUCUCUUAAUUUGCUUUGUAUCUUUCACCUUUUUUGCUUUCCUUUGAUAUGAUGCUACCUUCUCUUGCACGUAAUUUCUAUCCACACAUGUAUGUAUAUCUCCUUCCAUUAAGGGACACCUUUUAGGUUCCCUAAAUUCUAAAUCAUAAAUUAAAACUUGAACUCCUUUCUUUAUAAUUCAUGGUCAAAAACUUAUGUGGAACUGUUUCUAUCAUGUGAUAGUGCUCAGUAACAAUACAGCUAAAAGAUGACAUGCGUUUAAAAACCAAUAAUCAACUUUGAAUACAUGCCACCUUUUAAUUAAAUUGUUAUGUCAUUGAGUAUUGUUACAUGAUACGAAUAUCCCCCAUAGAAGUUUUUCUCGUAAAUACCUAUCGGUAUGGAAAAUGUUGACAAAAUAUCAAGAUUGAUUUUAUAAAUAAUAAUAACAAAAAGACUGUUCAUGAUAAAUAAAAAAAUUGUUAAUUGAAUUGCAUAGGAAAGAGUUGGGAUUUAAACGAGGUUCAAGUGGAUCCAAAUAUAAGCGAGUGAAAUGUUUAUCACAUGAGUUGAGAGUUAUAAACAAAAGAAUGUGAAAAAAAUAGUGAACGUUUUUUUAAUUUCGUAUUUGAUGUAAGGGCAAGAAACAUGUUUGGAUGUGGUUACUUGGUUGACCUACAUUCUACUACAUGCUAAUCGAAUGAAGGCCACAUGCAUCUCUCUCGUAUACUGCGAGUGGUAGGUGAACAACCCCCUCCCUAAAAUCUACCUGCCAUUAUUGCUGGAUAUGUAUUCAUGGCAGAAUAUGUGGAACCUUGUAUUGGGUCCAGUUUGAACCAGUAAAGAUGUAGAUUUUGUUUCCCUUCUUUUAUUGGUGAGAGUUGGGGUUUUUGGGGUUGUGAAGGGAGCACUAAGCUUUGAAUUUGUUAAACAAAUCAGGUUGAGAUAAUAAGAUUUCAAUAAGACUAGGGAAAUGUUAUUUGUGCAUUAGGGAGUGCAAGAAGCUUACUUUGGAGUGCAAAUAAUAUCUCUUUAACUGUUUUGAUAAAAGAUAAAAAAACGAUAGAUUCAAAAUUCUAAAACAUCAAAGACAAAGAGUAAAAUAAGAAUGUGUUUUAGAAUUUUGAAUCUCAACUUAUGUGGUAAUGUUUUAUUUGUUUAUAUUUGGUUACUAAACUCGUUUAUUUCCUACAAACAACCACCUACGGGAUUGAAAUUAGAAUCACUAAUUAUUUCUUAAAGAUUAAUGAAAUUCAAAGCAACUAAAAUACUUCUGCAACCCAUGCUAUAUCAUUUGGUGACCCUAGAAAUAGUAUAUAUUGCUAGUAUUAAUUUUUCGACAAUAAAUAAUGCAACAUAUAACAAAAACAAAUUUCAGUUGCUCAUAUCAAGGUUCAUUUUGAACAAGUACAUAUUUUUCAAAUGUUAUUCACCAAACCAAAUGAUUUGGUGGAACAUGACAAUAUCUUACAUGAAUGGGGAUUGCAACUUGCAUGAAUGGGAUAGAUACAAACAUGAACAACAUUUGGUGACCAAAAUUUGAGAAAGUUUUUGUGGCUCUAGCGUUAUUGUUUCAAAAAUCAAUAAUGCACACCAACAAAAAUCCUAAAAUUUUGAACAUUGUGUAGUGUUUCUUUUACAAAUGUUAUGCAUCACAUGACAAUAUAUAUAUAUAUAUAUAUAUUUUUAAUACAAGAGAUAGUAUGUAAGUUAAGGCCAUUUUUCCCAAGGUUAGACCCCACUUGACAAUAUCUUAAUUAAAUAAAUGAGGUUCAUAUUGAACCAAAUAUAUCAACAUGUUGAACAAUAACAUUAUUGCCAGUGGAGAAUAGCUCAGUUGGUUGAGCUCUUCUACCUCCACCCGUGUAGACAGAGGUUCAAAACCCUCAUGCACCCAUUGAAUAUUUGUGUAAACCACCCUCCCCCAAUCGCUUGUACUUAAAAGAAGAAAAAAAAUCAUUUGGUGGCACAAGUGUUAUUGUUUCAAUAAUUAAUAAUGAUACAUGCACCUGCUCAAAUCCUUAAAUUUUGAACUUCAACUAGUGUGAUAAUGUUUCAUGUUCUUUAUAAAUAUUAUUUCUAACAAGUAAGAAAUUUGGAAACCAAAAACUUUCCCAAAUAUUAUCAAUCAUGUGGAGAAAUUAUAGAAUACUACAGUAGUACGACGGAAAAAUCACUCCGCAUGCGGUGUGAUGGAUAAAAUGACAAUAUUUUAAAAGUUGUAAGAAGAAAAAAUGCUAGUCAUCAAUUAUGUUCAAAAAUAUGAUGUGUUGAUACUCGUUAGUAAUAAAUAGGGUUUAAACUGAACCAGAUUUAAAUCAUUCAAACAAUGCCACACCAUUAGGUGAAUAAAAUUUUAGUGAAUAUAUUUGGUAUCCCUACUCUACUAGGAAUAUGUUGACUAAAAUGGUGUUUUCAGAAACACUAGGUAAGAGGAGGAGGGUCUAGAGUGAAAAGGGUGGUGUGAAAAAAAAUUUGGAAAAAUUUGGAAGCCAAAGGAGAGAGUGAGGAGAGUCAAUAGAGAAGACUUAAGUCAAGGGGAGGGUGUGUUUUAUAGGGGUGGGUAUUUGAACCCGUGAACCGCAUCGAAAAAGACCGAUUAGGGUUUAGGGUGAAAAGGGCAGUGUGAAAAAAAAUUUGGAAAAAUUUGGAAGCCAAAGGAGAGAGUGAGGAGAGUCAAUAGAGAAGACUUAAGUCAAGGGGAGGGUGUGUUUUAUAGGGGUGGGUAUUUGAACCCGUGAACCGCAUCGAAAAAGACCGGUUAGGGUUUAGGGUGAAAAGGGCAGUGUGAAAAAAAAUUUGGAAAAAUUUGGAAGCCAAAGGAGAGAGUGAGGAGAGUCAAUAGAGAAGACUUAAGUCAAGGGGAUGGUGUGUUUUAUAGGGGUGGGUAUUUGAACCCGUGAACUGCAUCGAAAAAGACUGUUUUUGUCUUGGAAAAUCUAGUAUAAUAAAUCAAAUUGGACCGGUUAUGUUAAGUUUACCUAUUGAUUUAUAUCCAAAAUUAUUAGUAAGCCUAGUUAAUAUUCAAAUAACAUUAACUCUAAGUACGUAAUAUCUAGAUAUUUUAGUCCAAUUAAUAACAAAAUGUCUUUGUUCAAUUUUAUACUAAAUUAAAUAACUACUCUAGCCCAAUUUUUUUUUAUUUUCGGUGAACUAUAUCCGUUCUUGUUGCACUUCCGUCUUUCUCUAUUUUUCACAUAUUUCUUUCUCUUUAUCUUCCUAUUUAUCUCUUCACCUCUUUCUCUCUUAUUUUAUCCUUGGUACAUAUUUUUCUAUAUAUCAUAUUUCUCUACUCUUCACAUCUUUAUAUUUUUAUAUUUUCAAAUCGGAAAUCGAGCCAAACUGAACCGAAAUCGCAUAGGUCUAGUUUGAUUCUAUUCUUCUAGACAUUUUCUAUAAAAACCAAACCAAAUCAGAUUGUGUGCACGUUCCAGUUUUGGUUCUAAUUCAAGAGAAAAACCGAACUGAACCGGACCAUGCCCACCCUUAGUUUCAUGUUGACUUUUGUCUUUUUUUUUUUAUUUUUUGUCUUUUUUUUUAAAGUUUCCCGCCUCUUAUUGUUCAUUUAAUCUCUCUUUCAUAUUUCAUUUGUUCUAUUUCUAAUGUCAGACAUAUUAAUUAGUUUUCUUUUUAUUUUCAUUUCUUACUAGUUAUAAUUAAUAAGCUAAUGUUUAAUAGCUUCAGCAUAAAUGAAAAAGAGCAAAGCAUUUAGAACAUGUUGUACCGUACUCGCGUAAUUUUAUGUAUUUGGCUUUAUAUGGAGAAGAAUAUAUAUGUAUAUCUGAAAAUCCCAAAUACCAUCGUCUCACGUAUACAUAAUAAAAAUUAAUACGAUUAUAUGACACAUAAAUUAAGAUUCCAUUAGUUGAAUCUUACACGUAGAAUCACAAAGCACAUUAUACAUGCCUUCGGUACAUGCACACGUAAGUACGUACGUACAUACACACACGAGCUUAUAUAGCGGCAAGAAAACAAAAAUUAAAAAAAGUGAAACUACUUGAAAGUACAUACAUAGAAGAAUCACAGGUGGUGAUUUCACAAACGAUAGUAAAACUAUACCAUGACCACAAACAUAGAAGAAUCAUAGCGAUGAUGCUUUUAUUUAUUAACUAGUGGGUAGAUGGAGUUGCACUGCUUCAGCGGAGCUUGAGGUUUCUCAUCCUGCAAAUUAAGCACAACAAAAUUCAAUGGAAGUGUUGGUUUUCCAAGGAAGAAAGCGUCUAAAAUGUUGAGCACAUAUGUAAAGGCAAGAGCUAGAAUUGGGUUACAGCAGUGUUUUCUGGUAUAGAAGCCUUUCAAGUUAAUUUCAACUUUGGUAGGGAUAGUGUCUUGGAAGUCAAUGGACAUAGUCUUAUUAAAGCGUUGGAAUGGAAUAAAAUGGAAAGGAAAGUUCAGUGUAUUUUAAGCACAAAUUUCACAUUGAGUCAAAGAAUUGGAAUUAAGUUUAACAAUAUUUAUAACUAGUCAUUUUCUGUUAGGUGGAGGACUUUGACAAUAGUUUAUGUAUAUAUAAUAUAUAUACCUCUUUUCCUCAUCAUUCCCUCCAGUGGUUCUGUAGUCUGGGAAGGGCACUUGGCCUGACUCAAUAUGCUUGACAUCUUCAACAAGACGCUCGUAGUGCCUCUUCACUUCCUCCGGGGUUUUGCCGCCGACCGCCUUAGCAACAUUGUACCAGCGGUCGGCGGUGUCCUUGUCAUACAAAGCCAGAGCCUUCUCAAAGGCUUUGUUUUGCUUGGCGGUCCAAGAGGACAUUGAACUUGAUGCCAUUAGUUUCUAGGACUGAAAUGGUUUUUUGAGAAACACUAUGGGGAAGAAGAGUCUAGAGUGAAAAGGGUGGUGAGGAAACAAACUGGGAAAAAGCUAUUGGAAGGCAAAGGAGAGAGUGAGGAUAGUCAAUAGAGAAGACUUAAGUCAAGACUCAAGAGGAGGGUGUGUUUUGUGCUGAGGGCUGGCAAUACAUGCUCUUUAUAAGGAGGGAGUCGAGGGGGUGAGGUGGGGUAGUGCCAGUUGGCAAAGAGAUCUUGGAAAAAUGAUGUGGAAUUUGAAUGAUUUGGUCACCUAGCUACCACAAAAUUAUUCAAUCAAGCAGACAAAGAUGAAGAACAAUAAUUACGGGAGAAUCAGUAUCUCAAAGAAAUUUUGAUUAAAAAAAAAUCAAUAAAGUUGAUUGAAGUCCUUUUCUUUCUUUCUUUCUUUCUUUUAUAAGUUAUUAUCAACACUAUAACAAAGAAAUAACACACUACUUGCGGUUUGCUCACUCGUUCAUUAAAUUGAUCUAAAAUAAAUAAACGGUGACUUUUUUAUGGAGUGUAAAAUUAUAAGUUCUAAAAACAGUCAAACCCGGGAACCUAGAAGCUGUUCUCUUUGCUUAUUUUGCAAAUCAACUUAACCUAGAAAUUAGAAAAAUUGGAGCUGUUUGGCCUCAUGUAAUUUGCCAGCUUCUGGAUUAAAAAAUUGGUAAGUUUGGUGACUUAGAGCCUUGAAAGCUAAGCAUACUAAUAGAGGAAAAAACAAAGUGGAAAUUCUCAAGGUGAGAGCUUCUUCAUCUGUUGAGAUUUCCUGCAGAUUACAUCAUUACCCUCUCUGUUUUAUUCUCUAACUCUGCAGGAUUUUUAGGUGGGCCUCGUGCUCGAAACCACAGUCAAUCAGGUAACCGUACUAAACUUUCACGUGUGCAUCACAAACCCUUUUUGCCUUCUCCUUUUUUAUUUUUUGUUUUACAGAGUUUCAUAGCAAGAGGAAGAGCAGGAAAACUUGUGUGGAAGGAGGAUACCUCUUUUUUCUUAUCUCUGACUAAUCACAUUAUGCCAAUUGAAAAAGUUAUCACGUGUGGCAUACCGUGAUUGGCCGGGAUCGCAAAACAGUGUUAUCUCCGCUCCACACACAAGUGUUUCCCUAAGCAAGAGGCCUCAGUGCUGCUAGGUACAAAUGACCUUGUUAGUGUCCUCUGUCCUGAACAACGUUCCAAGCUCUCUAGCUGGCCUGCUGGAUCCGUACAAUGAUUCAAUUGUGUUUUUUCUCUGAGGAAAGGUCAACAUAAUGUCACCAACUCUUCUGCAGUAGGGGCCCUUUCUGAUGUAGUUUGGUUAUUGCCGCAUAAACCUAUUGGUGUAUUCACAAAGUGUUCAAUGGUUUGAACUUGAGAGAUUUCCUUCCAAUCAGACCCUGAAAUUUCAGUCAUUUUGGUUUAAACAGAGUUCAAUCAGAACUCAUCUAAUUAUGUACCAUUUGGAAAGAAAAGGGUUGAGAUUGACCUCUUAAUUGUCAUUUCAAACCAUGUUUACGGUAAUGCAGAAAAACCAUGUGCCUAGAAAUCUGUAUCAAAUAAUUGUAUCAAAUCUGGUACCAAUUGGUAUGAAUUAUUGUAGUGAUGCUCAUGAUUUUGGCCCUUCAUUGGGCCAAACAGUUCUAAAGUUAAAUGGAGAAAUACAAAUUUCUGCACCUAUAUAUAACAAGGUUAUCCACACAUAAUGAUCUUGUUUGCUUUGUCUUUAGCUGUUGCUUCAGGAUGAUGCAUUGGAGUCACAAACACCAAUUCCCACAGCCCUCCACUUGUUCUUUAGAUUUUAGCUCAUUUUGAUCCAGAAAUCAUUGUUUCCAAUUGCUACAUUUGGUUAUUUCUCAAAUAAAAGAAAAAGGUGUUUCAACUUUUAACCUCUCAGAUGGUUCGAGUCUGGCUGGCUGUGAAUCUGUUUUUUUUUUUUACCGACUGAUAUCAUCCUAGUCAUGAACUCAUGGGCAAACUACUUGCAAUAAUGUGAUAGAAUCUUUUACUGGCCAGAGUUAAAGUUGCCCACUUGUGGUUUUUGAAUUUUUGAAACUUCUCACUUUUCCAUGUUAGAGGAAGUUUGGUUGUUUUUAGUCUUUGACCCACUAAUUUUAUUGAAUAAAUUCUCUCUUUAAGCCCAUAAAUUGUUACAAGAACCCAAAUUUGCUGAUUAAUGAUAGGAACUUGACUUUCCCUCGUGUUUAUCAUCAAUUGUAUACAACUAUAUUCUUAUAUCUUUUAUCACGUGACUAGCCAUGUUAAAAAGAGAAACAAGAAUAUUGUAUACAGCUGGCUACACCUAAGAUUAUUUCCCCAUAAUAUUUCUUGCAUCGGAUAUGUUGAGUCCCUGUAAAUUUAGCAUCAUCAACAAGCCCGAAUUCCGAACAAAACAAUACACAUUGGAACACCAUAACUGUGUGCUAGUAUCAUGUCUGCUUAGCACAUGAGCUGUAACAGCAUUAAGGGUUUCCUGUAGCUUUCAAGUAGUCAGAAGAACCAUAUUUAACUUGCAUGAAUAAUAUAAGGUUAAGGCGUAUCUCAAUCAUGACAGUGACAGAAUUUAUUUUUUUUGGGUCAAGAGAAUAUCUGUUAAGAAUAAAAAGUUAAGUCGGAGGCAUCCCAUUUUAGAGGGGCGGCGAGGUGGUGCCAUGUCUAGUCUGCAACUUGGUUAAGGUAGCCCCAGCCUAUGGGUCUACAUUUGCAAAAAUCCUGCAACUAGACCUCAGUUUAGUCAAUUCAAGACUUCUCAGAUCCACAUAACCAGUUUUUGUUUCCAGAAGCAUAGAUAGGACUAGAAUGGCAGGAAAAUCAGAUUUCUGUAUUUCAGAAAAUACAGGGCGCGCGUAUGAUUCCUGCAACUUUUUGACAACUUUUCCUCUAAUAAUGUACAUAGUAAAACAAUUUACCUAGUAUAAUGAAUCUAUUUUUUCACUAAAUUUUGUAUCUAUUUUUUUCUUUGAAUAAUGUACCUAUUAGUUGUUUUGUGAAAAUUAAUUUAAAAAUCUAUUUAUUUUUUGUUUUAUGAAUUUUUUUUCUCUAAAUAAUGUACCUAUUUUUUUCUCUAAUAAUGUAUACCUAGUAUAAUGGGGUGAUUGAUAUUGUCAAACCCAAAAGAAAUGGAGUGAUUGAUAUGUUAUUAAUAGGGAGUUUUAAUUAUAAUUAUGGCAGUUAAUGAAAUGCUUGGAAUAAAUUAUAAAUAAAAUAUGAAGUAUGAUGGCAACGAUGUUAAAACGUAAGAAUACUAUGACCUCUUAUAUCUUACUGGUCUUUUUUUUUUUGAGAAAUUCUAUGAUUGCAUUCAUAAUUCAGCCAAAAAAGUCACCAGCCAUAAAGAGCCAAUACAAAAUAGCCACAAAAGGGCCAUUAUAAUAACGGAGCGGUCUAAUAUCAAAAUUAAGACAAUCUGGCAUGUCUCCACUAACGAUCAGGCAUGAUCGAAGAAACUCUAGCAUGGACAUCCCAACUAAGAUUGCAAACUUAGAUUAAUAAAAAUAAAAAAAAGAUAAAGCUUGAAAAAACCAAGCCAUAACAAUACAAAUAAAACUCUCACAAAGGAGAGAUGAAAAGCUCUCACAAAGAAGAGAUGAAAAACUCUCACAAAAGGAGAUGUGAAAACUACACAGAGAACCCAAAGAGACUCUGCAACUUAUUCCAAACAUAAAGAAAUUGCAAAAAAGAUGGUGGUGGAGAUCCGACGCUGAAAUGCAGGUGAAGAUCCGACGCUGAGCUGUAACAGCCUAUAAUGGUUGGAUGAAAAUUAUAACAAAACUAAGACAAAUAGGAAAAAUCCUUUGUCUCUGAAAAGGGGGAAGAGGUGAAAGGAGGAAGAGAAGAGGGGAGAGGGGGGAAGAACAAUGGUUUCCUCCUCCCUCAAAGUGGAAAAGGCUCUAAGAGUAUCCUACUGGUCAUUUAAGUUUAUGGCAGUUAAUGUAAUGCUUGGAAUAAAUUAUAAAUAAAAUAUGAAGUCCGAUGGCAACGAUGUAAAAACCUAAGAAUACUAUGACCUCUUAUAUCCUAUUUGUCAUUUAAGUUUGAAAUUUGAUUUUACACAUAGAUUUAUAGAAUGAUGGGUAUAUGUCUAGGAAAUAGAAAUUGUAGGGACCUAUAUUGGACAAGCUCUAAUUUCUCAUUCACAGACGUAUAUGGAUUGUCUUAGUUAUGACGUGCAUUCAAAUUCAGUUUCUUGCGCUGAAAGUUAAUCUACGAAACCAUGUUGCUCUCCACACAUUUGUGCCACCUUGCCGUCCCUAAGAAAUUGAUCUCUUAUCUUAUCAAACAGGAUAUUAGCCAACAGUUAUGAAUUUUCUGUUGAUUUAAGGUGCAGCACGUACCGAAACAUUGAAAGUAAAUGCGGCCUCCAUGGUCAAGUUGCAUCAGUCAGGGUCAUGGGAUACUGGCCACAUGCUAAUGGGGCUAUCACUUAUCAUUAGCUUGAAAACUACGUUAAGCAACUUUCUAGGAAUCUAUACGAAAUAAGUGAUGGCUUGAGAUGCACAUACGCCCUCCUAGCAAUCGAUGUUUCGAAUCCUUAUCACGCACAGUCUAUCUCCAUUAGAAAUCCAAAUCUCUUGAUUCCCUCCUCUCUUUCAGUGUGGUCCUUCCCUACAAGUUGGAGAGAGAGAGAGAGAGAGUGGUUAAGCUUGGACUCUAUAUAUAUGUUGGUCCUGAGCCUAGUUUUGUGCUUUCUGUUUCUAUAUUUGGGUUGGUUGAUGGAGAGACUAUCCAAAAUAUCAUUCAGUUUAAGGCCUUUAAUUUCCAUGUUAAAGAACUAUGGAAUUGGGAAUCUACUACUCAAUAGUGAGGGGCAAUAGUCCACCACCCAUACCUUUCUCUUGUUGGUCCUAAGUUGGCCGCAAAGCAUAGAAAUCAUCUUUUGGAUGGAAUCUUUUAUUAAAAAGGGGAAUUGUGGAAAUAGAUAUUUAAAUUGGUGAUUUGUUUAUUGGAAGGAUUUUAUGAAUGUAUAUGCAUGGAAAGUUCUGCUUGUGUGAAUGAUGUGGUCCAAAAAAAAAACUUAUGGUGUGUUUAUUAAUUAGGAAUUGAAUUUCAAUUACGGAGGAUUCUUGUGUUUAAUUCACAUCAAUUAAUUAAAAAGUAAGUGGGGCCCACACAAAAUUAGGAAUUGAAUUCCUUAUUUUGAAGGAAUUCAAUUCUUGAGUGAGAUGUGGUAUUCUAAUUCUUAAAGAACUAACUCAUUAUGAUCUUUUUCUUUUCUUAUCUUUUUUAUAAAAAAAACACCAGGAAAAGAUAAGAUGAAAAGGGAGGAAGGAAGAGGGAAAGAGGGGGUGAAAGGAGGGGAGGGGAGGAUGGUCUGUGACCACUUCCCACUCCCCUUCCCUUCCCCCGGCUAGAGUUGGGAGAAAAAAAUUGCAGAGCAGGAAAGGCAAAUGUCGUUCUUUUUCGGGUUUUUUCUUCUUUUGCUCUUCCUCCUCUUCCUCUUUUCUUUCUUUUUAUGGUUCCCUCUCCCCCUUCCUCUCUCAUUCCCCACAUGUCCUUUCUCUUUCUCGUUUUUGUUCUCUCCCUCCACGUUUUUCGGAUCUUUUUUAUCUUUCUUUCCUCCUCUUCCUCUUUCUUUCUUUUUUUGUUUUCUCCCUUAUCCCCUUUCCUGCCAUCUCCUUUCUCUUCUACCUCUUUGGGGGUUUUGCUAUGUUUUUACAGAGUGAUUCUCAGUUUUCUAUUUUUUACUUUUGUUUUUUAUUUUUUCUAUUGUUUUUUCGGUUUGAGCCUCUUUGGCUGUGCUCGUGGCUCCCUCUAAGAGUUGGGUGCUUCUCCCCACUGUGGUGAUUGCUUAAGCCUUGUGCUCUGUGCUGAGAUUAAAUGUCUCAUGAUGUUGUGUCCCCCGUUUUUCACCAAUCUACCCCAAAUUCUCCUUCUCUUGUGUUCAGAUCUAGACUCUCCAUUGGGAUACAGCAACUAUAUCUAUAAGCACACAAUUUUAAAAUUUCCAAAUUUGUCAUAUACUUUAACUCAACAACGAUGACAUUUUAGUCAUUAUUACCACUCCUACCCCAAUUUCAUAUGGUUUAGUAAACAACUUCAAUAGGAAUCCAAAAUCUAAUUCUCCUCAAUCCAAGUCCUCCUCAAUUCAAUUCCUCCUAAUCUGAUUACGGAUUAGUAAACAUGCUAUUAUUGCAAUUUAGAGUGCUUUGUGUGUGUAAUUACGGUGGAAUACACACUUAAGUUAUUAGGGAACGGACCCCCUCUUUCACAUAUCCUACAAGUGGAGAGGCAUACACCGUGCAGCCCUGUCAUGCAUCUUGCAAUUCAAAAAUGAACUAGAAGUGAAAAGAUUGGACGUUUUGAACCCAAGAUCAACUACAUCCAGAAUUGUAGUUAUGAUACCAUGUUAGAUAAUAAUAACUUAACCCUAAAAAUUCAAAGUUUAGCAUAUGGACACUAAUGUACAUCAAUCUGACAUAGGGCACUCAUUCAUUGAUAUUGAGUACUAUUUAUUGUAUAUGAUAUAUUGUCGAUACAUAUUGAAGAAUAGAUACAUAUUGAAGGACCUUGUGAAUUGAUAAUCCUUUUUCUUUUUUUUUGGGUCGUUGUGAAUUGAUAAGCCUUAUGUGGCUUACAUCAGUUGUGAAGCGAAGUUUAGGAGAUGAACCAUGCAAAAAAAUGAUAUAUAUCUAUAUAUAUGGACUCGACUCACAGAUAAUAACCAAUAAAGAAGCACCACCAAUCAGCAUUUCCGUCAAUUUUGGGGUCACCAAGAAAUUGUUAUCAAGUUGUUGAAAGAUCAAGAUCAUUGACGUUGGGUUAUGUUAAGAAUAGAAGGACGUGGCUGGGUUUGAGGCGACAAAAACAUCAUCUUUCCAUUCCUUCUAGGCGUCACAAGAAUCAGCAGGAACAGACCAAGACAUUGUGGGGCAUGGAUGGAUUCUUCUGUCAACUUGUCAUUCUUCCCAAAGCCUAUUUUGCAAGUCAAUGCCCUUGUUUUGGGCGCUCCACGUUGGUUUGCCUGCAAUCAUUUUUUAGUGGAGGAGCUUCUUUGUGGAUCUCAUUCUCUAUUUUGUUAAAUCUUAAGUUCAAUCCUGCUCUUAAUAUGUGCUUAUGUUGAAUUGGUUUGUGUCUAUGGUGAAACUGGAUAAACGGAUUAAACGGUACAAUCACAAUCACACACGUAGCACAAAUGCUUGAGUAGUUCACUCAUGAGAUAUGCAAAACCUAACUCUAGGUUUUGUGUUUUAAUGAGACUCUAAGUUGAGGCACUACUAUGCUAAAAUAUGAAAACUAUGAGAGAAUAUUUGUUUGUGGGAAUUUUCUGUGUAUUCUUCUCCUUGUAUGAGGUCAUAUUUAUAAUACAACGAAAUCUGAAUGGGCAAGUAAAUAAUAAAUUCCUAAAUCUAUUUACAUUAGGAAAUCAGGAAUUAAAGUAAAUCAGGAAUUAAAGUAAAUCAAUUACAAUUAUAAUAUGAAUUCUUGGUGUAUAAGAAAAGUAAGUCAAUAUCCAAGUCAUGCCAACACUCCCCCUCACGUUGGUGCAUAGAUAUCGUCAAUGCCCAACUAAUCCGGUAAAUUGUGGAAUGCUUUACUGGAAAUCGUCUUUAUCAAAAUAUCCGCCAAUUGAUCCUCGGAUUUCACAAAAGGAAACUGAAACACUUUAGCCUCAAGCUUCUGUUUGAUGAAGUGUCGAUCCACCUCAACAUGUUUAGUACGAUCAUGCUGAAUUGGAUUCUGUGCAAUGGCUAUACCAGCCUUGUUGUCACAAAAGAGAUUCAUUGUGGAUGUAGAUUUAUACCCAAGUUCAGUAACUAACUUUCUUAACCAAAGAAGUUCACAAAUCUCUUUAGUCAUGCCUCUGAACUCGACUUCUGCACUGGAUAAAGCUACUACAUUCUGUUCCUUGCUCCUCAAUGUCACCAAAUUACCUCUCACGAAUGUGAAGUAACCCGAUGUGGAUUUUCUAUCUGUUACAUUACCUACCCAAUCUGCAUCUGAAUAACCAUCAAUAUUUAAAUGACCAUGCUUUGAGAACAUUAGUCCUUUUCCAGGUGCAGACUUCAAAUAUCUAAGUAUCCGAAGAACUGCAUUCAUGUGGUCUUCACUUGGAGAGUGCAUAAAUUGACUGACAACGCUCACCGCAUAAGCAAUGUCUGGUCGAGUAUGUGACAAAUAGAUCAAUCUUCCCACUAACCUUUGGUAUCUUUCUUUGUUAGUUGGAACUUGAUCCGGAUAUUCUCCAAGAUGAUGAUUUUGAACAAUAGGAGUGUCUGCAGGUUUGCAAUCUAGCAUUCAUGUGUCUGUCAACAAGUCCAAGACAUAUUUCCUUUGAGAGAGAAAUAUGCCUUGCUGCGAUCGAGCCACCUCAAUUCCCAAGAAAUAUUUGAGUCCACCUAGAUCCUUCAUCCCAAACUCAGUAGCCAAAUAAUUUUGUAGCUGUGAUAUUUCCUGUUUAUCAUUCCUAGUAAUAAUCAUAUUAUCAACAUAGAUUGUUAAUUAUGUUACCUUCCACUUCUGAUGUUUCAAGAAUAGAGUAUGAUCUGAGUUGCACUGUUUGAAACCAUUGUUCUUCAUUGUCAUAGUGAACUGUCCAAACCAUGCACGUGGUAACUGUUUUAGUCCAUACAAUGCAUUUCGUAACCUGCAAACUGUUCCAGUCUGAGUAGUACUAUAUCCACAAGAAAUGUCCAUAUACACCUCCUCCGUGAGUUCGCCAUGUAGAAAAGCAUUUUUUAUAUCAAACUGGUGUAGUGGCUAAUCCAAAUUAGCUGCAAGGGACAAUAAGACUCCGACGGUGUUUAACUUUGCAACUAGUGCAAAGGUUUCUUCAUAGUCUAUACCAUAGGUCUGUGUGUACCCUUUUGCCACAAGUCUUGCCUUGUAUCGCUCGAUAGAUCCAUCUGCAUUGUGUUUUAUAGUAAACACCCAUCUACAUCUGAUAGUCUUUUUUUCUCGUGAUAUAGUCUCCAAUGUCCAAGUCUGAUUUUUCUCAAGAGCUUUCAUCUCCUCUUUUAUAGCUUGGACUCACUUAGGAUUUUUCAAUGCUUCAGAGACCUUGGUUGGAAUAUGGAUAGCAGACAACUGAUGCACAAAAGCCUUGAAUGGUUCAAACAGCUUCUCAGUGGAUACAUGAUUUGCAAUUGGAUACUGGAUAUCUUGCCAAUAUCAGGUGAAUAACGGUUUGGUGGCUUCCCACGAUUUUUCCUAAAAGGUAAUUGAUAUCCAAUAGUUUUAUCUUCUAAAUGCACAAGUCUAGUAGGAGUAGUUACCUUAAAGAUAUUCUCAGGAGAUUGGUCCAGUGGUACUGUUGAGUGAGAUGGGGGUUCUUCAUCUUGUUGUUCGGAGUUGUCUAUAGGAAUAUGACUCGAAUCAAAAACAGUUUCGCAAGGGUUAGGCAAUAGAUCGUUGUUUGGCAGAGAGCAUUCGCACGUGCCAAACUCGGGAUCAUCGAUUGUUAUUGUUUCUUGGCCGAGAGCAAUCUUCGUGCAUAGAUGAAUAUCUUCGAUUUCCAAGAUGCUCCAAUUGAGCUCUUCACUCCGUAUCUCCCCCUGAAGAGUAGAAUUGGAUGCGGGGUCAUAGAAGAACAUCUUUGAUUCUAGAAAUGUGACAUCCAAAGUAACAUAGGUUCACCGGGUAGAAGGGUGAUAACAUCGGAAGACUUUCUGAUGAGUGGCAUAACCCAAAAAAACACAACGAAGCGCACAUGAAUCAAGUUUGCUUCGAUGAUUUUUGUGGAGAUGAACGAAGGCCACACAACCAAAAAUGCGAGGGGUAAGCACCAAAACAGAGGGCAGAGGCCCGUGUUGCGCGAGCACUUGUAAUGGAGUUUUGAAGUUCAAUACCCCAGAAGGCAUGUAGUUGAUAAGGUGGACAGCAUUGACGACAGUAUCAUCCCAAUGAUGACGAGGAACAUGGCCACCAAUGAGAAGAGCAUGGGCUGUUUCAAGAAAAUGACGAUUCUUCCAUUCGGCAACACCAUUUUGUUGUGGUGUCUGGGGGCAAGUUGUCUCAUGAAUAAUGUCAUGUGUCUAGAAGUAAGUCUGAAAAUCAUGAUUAACAAAUUCUCCACCGUUGUCAGAGCGAAGAAUCUGUAUUCAAGCAUUGAACUGUGUUUCCAUCUGUUUGUGAAAGGAUUGGAACAGGGAAAACACUUCGUUCUUAUUUUUCAUCAAAUAAAGUCAUAUCAUCCGUGCACAAUCAUCUACAAAUGUGGCAAACCAAAAAAGACCAGAAUGAGUAGAAAAAGGUGAGGGUUCCCAAACAUCAGAAUGAAUUAAAGCAAAAGGAAUAGUACUUUUAUUCAUACUUAAAGGGUAGGAUGCUCUGUGACUCUUGGCUAAAAUGCAAGUGUCACAUUUAAAAUAUGAGUCCUUAAAUACAGAAAACAACUCGGGCAAUAAGUGUCCCAUAUAACCAAAAGAUGGAUGCCCCAAACGUUGGUGCCAGAGCCACAUCUGUCGGUGCUUAUCAUCAGACGGAUGCUUCACAUUGUUGGCACGUCCCAUACUGAAGUCAUCCACAUAGUACAGCCCCCCUCUUUUAGUACCAUGCCCAAUGAUCUCAUUGGUGAGAAUAUCCUGUAGUAAACAAAAAUUGGGAUAAAUUAGUGCACAACAAUUUAGUUGUUCAGUUGCCUGGCUCACAGACAUUAAUUUAUUGGACAAAGAUGGAACAAGUAGAGUAUUAGAAAGGGACAGAGAAGGUGAAAGAGCGACAGUGCCGGCCCCUGUAACAGGAUAGGUAACUCCAUUCAUAUUGGCAAAACUUGUGCGACGGGGUGUAGUGGUAUGCAAAAAAUUAUUCGGAUCAAAGGUCAUACGAUCAGUGGAGCCAGAAUCAAUUAUCCAACCAGUAGUAUCUCGUAGAUCAGAAGUAUGAAAUACAUAGCCGCAGUUACCUGAGACAUCCGGAAGCGCGGGACUAUCAGUAGGGUCUCCUUGAGGGAACAAGGCUAAUUGGUGUUCGGGAGAGACAAAAGCAGCACGGCCGGAAUUACUAGCAAUUUCUCUGAGCUUGCGAGCGCGGAGGUCCUCCCACCUAUCAGGAUAACCAUUCAGCUUAAAACAGGUGUCACGGGUAUGUUUGGGGUUGCCACAGUCAUGCAACCACUUCCAUCAGCCGGAGCUUUGGGAGGAGAAUGUGGGAUGGUUUUAGGAGGUGGAGUACCAGCAAUAGUAGCAUAUGACUGGAUCUGAAGGUGGGCCGCAGUAGAGGAAAUAUAGGGCUCUCCGAUACGAGUAGGGGGACCUAAUCAAGGCGCACUCUUGGCCGCUAAGCCAGCGCCAGUGGGUGCAGAUAAACCCAUCAUCCCUGCUUGUCGAACAUCUUCACGACAAACAUAGGCAUAAGCUUGGUCCGCAGUAGGGAAUGGAGUCAUGUGAAAAACAUCACUUCGGGCCUUAUCAAGACGAUCAUCAAGGCCAUCCAAAAAUAUGUAAACUCGAUCUUCCUACAGAAUAUCAUUAUAUCGCUUGAUAUCACUUUCAUACUCCAUCAUAUUUGGACCACAGAAAUCAAUCUCUCUCCAUAAGCUUUGGAGAGUAUUGUAAUAGGUUUCAAUGGAGCCGCUAACUUGUCGCAUACGGGAGACUCGUCGUUUCAGAUCAUAAACCUGAGAGGUGUCAGUGCCAUCAUAGUAGGUUGUGGCAAUUGCAUCCCACACUACUUUUGCCGUCGGAAAACAAAUGAAAUUGUCAAUCAAGCUCUGCUCCAGAGAAUUGAUAAGCCAUCCUUUCACAAUAGAGUUCUCAGUGCGCCAGCAAGGAAACGUUGGAGCGGUCAAAAGAGGUUGUGGAAGAUCGCCGUUAAUAUAUCUCAAUUUGUCUUUGCCGGAGAUAUACAACUCAACAAAGUGGGACCAUAGGGCAUAGUUUGUGCCAUACAACUUUAUGCCAAUCUGUGCAGCGGAAGCUUCAUAGGUAAUCGUCGUCGGAAUCGUUGUCUGAUUCGGGUUCAAGGUCGUCAUCUGAUUCGAGUUCGAGGUCGUCGUCUGAGUAGAGGUCGGGGUCAUCUUAGAAGGAUCCUGAUUUAGGAUCGAGGUCGAGGUAUGAGGCUGCAUCUGCAUUAGUUGAGCCACCUGAGUACUCAACUCAGCUAUGGUUAGUUGAGAAGGAGAGAAGGAAGCAGUAGUGCUACCGCCAUGAGGAUUAGAAUAGUCAUCCUCCCCCAUGGUGGCGGCUAGGGUUUAGAAACUAGAGUCAACAAUCCCAAGAUCGCUGCUCUGUUACCAUGCUAAAAUAUGAAAACUAUGAGAGAAUAUUUGUUUGUGGGAAUUUUCUGUGUAUUCUUCUCCUUGUAAGAGGUCAUAUUUAUAAUACAACGAAACCUGACUGGGCAAGUAAAUAAUAAAUUCCUAAAUCUAUUUACAGUAGAAAAUCAGAAAUUAAAGUAAAUCAGGAAUUAAAGUAAAUCAAUUACAAUUAUAAUAGGAAUUCUUGGUGUGUAAAGAAAGUAAAUCAAUAUCCAGAAGUCACGCCAACAUACUAAAGAAAAGGAAAAUUUGCAUAAAUAUCACUUGAACUUUUAGGCAUGUGCAUUACUACCAUCUGAACUUUUAAUUAUUAUUAUUAACAACCUAAACUUUAGAGAGUGUUACAAUAUACCACAUAUGUCUUAAUCCAUUAAAUUUUCCGUUAAGUUUGAGCACAAUUCCGUCAAUAACAUUUUACAAUUAAAACAACAUUUUUAGAGAGUGUUACACUAUAACAAAAAAACUUAACAUUUUUAAAAUUAACAUCAUUUUUAAAUAAUAAUAUUUUUUUUUCUUUAUGAAAACCUAAUCUAAAUUAUCCCACGCUUUCUCCCAUCCCUUCCAACACUAAUUUUCCCCCUUGCCCAGUAGACCCCCCUCUGCCAUCUAUCAUCCUGGCUUUUGGGGAUAUGGAUUUCAUGGCCCAUUCCAAAUAGAUUUCUUCAAAUCUCCAAAUUAAUUUGGCCUUCAAUUAUUUUUUAGUAAAUUUAAGUUUUAGCCAUAAAAAAAUUCUCAACUUUCAAAUCAAAGACAUACAAAUAUGUAAAUGAUUUCUUAGGAAAUUCAAAAAUAAAUUAGGACAAUUUUGUCCAUUUUUGCUUCUUUUAAAAAAUUUCUCUCUUCGGCCUUUUCCAAAAUCUUUCUUAUUUUUUUUAUUUUAUUCAUGAAGUGAAGUUUCAUUCAAAAGUCAAAACGGAAAUACACGAAAAACCAUAUAAGAAAGAGCAAGAUAAUACAAAAAACUGAAUCAUUAGGGGGCAAGCAAUCCCAUAUCUAGACAGUACCAUAACUAGUGAAAAAAUAGGCUGAUUAACCCAUCUGAGUAGUGCACCCUCGAGUUGGCCUUCAACUCUUCAACAACCCACACCAAAUAUUUUAUAGAUUCAGUGGAGAGAGAGAGAGAGAGAGAGAGAGAGAGAGAGAGAGAUGCGAAAGUGGGGUGUAUGCAUAGGGUGGGAGAGGAGGCUAUUGGGCAAUGUGGAAGAAUUUGUGUUGGAAGGGGUGGGGGACGACAAGUAGGUUAGCUUUUUUUAUAAUAAAAUUUUUUAAUUUUUUAAUUUUAUUAGUUUUAAAAAUAUUAAGUUUUUUAAUUAUAAUGAAUCGACGGAAUUAUUCUUAAACUUAACGAAAAGUUUAAUGGAGUUAAAUAUAGACGGUACAUUGCAACACUCUCUAAAGUUUAGGUAGUUAAUAAUAAAAAUUAAAAAUUCAAGUGGUAAUAGUGCACAUGCCUAAAAGUUCAGGUAGUAUUUAUGCAAAUUUUUCGAUAGAAAAACAUCAAUGAAUUUUUUUUUUUUUUUAAGGUCGGAAUUAGAGUUCAUUAGAAACUUACAAAAAGGCAGAAAUAUACAGCAUACAAGUGAGCUCGGCAACAAGGCCAGAAGGCAAAAUGCCGACAACAAGCAUAUAGAGUUCAACAAACUGAGCUCGGCAACAAGGCCAGAAGGCAAAAUGCCGACAACAAGCAUAAGGCCAUUAAUGUAACAACAAAAGAACUUGGGUUACCUAUACAACAAAAACAUAUUGGGCUCCCUAUACAACAAAAACAAAAACAAAACAAAAAAACAAAAAAUUGGGUUUCUGAUGAAGUCUAAUUUUUUGGUGUAAUGGACCUGGUUAUACUUUGGAAGGUUUUUUUACGAUAUUGGUUUGGGCUUAUUGUUCUAGUGAGAGCUGAGCUAAAUGUUCUCAAAAAAAAGCUAUGAGCUACUUGGGCUUAAACCUGCCAUAUUUACCUAGAAGUGUAGCCCAAACACACUUCCACCUUUCACAAGGAAAGAUAGUGGAGUAUGAAAAUCAUAAUGUGUAAUGGAAGAUAGGAAGACUUUUUCCGGUCUUACUAUUGUCACCAUCUGAAAAGUUCAAAAGUUUAUUCCCAUUAAAAGAUUACUGGAAAGUUUUGAUAGCAAGUUAGAAAUCAUCAUUUCCUUCUUCAUCGUUCUCUUUAGAGAAUGACAAGCAUAUCUGACAAUCUUUAGUAUCGAAUCGCAUAUUUAUUUAUCUGAAAUGAAUAUUGAAAUGAUUUUGGUUUCCAACUCUGAAAUGAAUAUUGAAAUGAUUUUGGUUUCUGACUCUCUUUGUUUACUAACAUAUAGGUAUUAUAAUUAUUAUAAGGUUUAGUAUCACAAAAUGUCUUUAAGGUUUACGAAACUAUCAGAUUGCAUUCUUAAUAUUAUUUUUUUGGUCAUUCGUGGUCCUCGAGGUUAGUAUGUGUGAUCACAAAUAGUCUCUGCCGUUCGGUUUUAUCAAAAACUUUGUUAGUUUGCUGACGUAGCAUAUAUAUCACAAAACAUCCUGAGAAACACGCACAUAUCCCAAAUGGCCCAUGCGAAAUUUUUUAAUUUUUCAUUUAAAAUUCAUAAAAUUCUAGUUUUCUUUUUUAAAUUAUUUAAAAAUAUAUAUUGUAUUUUAAAUAGAUGUGACACUAUAUUUUUGAAGAUAUUGACUCCACGUAUAUGCCGCAUUAACAAAUUAAUGAAGUUUUAAAAAAAAUAAUUUAAAAUUCAUAAAAUUUAAAAAUGAAAAAAUCAUUUGUAGAAGGAUUUUAACCUUGAGAACCAUUUAUGAAUCCUAAAUCCUUGGUUUUUUAAUUUUUUACUUUUAUGAAUUUUAAAUUAUUUUUAAAAAAAUUCCAAUAGUUUGUUGAUGUGGCAUAGAUGUGAAGCCCAUAUAUACAAUAAUAUAGUGUCACGUGUAUUUAAAAUAUAAUAUAUUUUAAAAUAAUUUAAAAUUCAUAAAAUUUUAAAAAGAAAACUAAAAUUUUAUGAAUUUUAAAUCAAAAAAUUAAAAAAUUUCGUAGAGACCAUUUGUGAUAAAUGCGUGAACUUCAAGAAUGUUUUGUGAAAUAUAUAUAUGCCACGUCAGUAAAUUAAUGGAGUUUUUUAUGGAACCUAACGUCAGGGACCAUUUGUGAUUACACAUAAUAACCUUAAAGACCACGAAUGACAAAAAAAACAUUAAGAAUGCAAUCUGAUAAUUUUAUAAACCUUGGAUACGUUUUGUGAUAUUAAACCUUAUUAUAAUUCAUAAAAUUAUGUAUAUUCCACGUUAAAAUCCGUAAUAUAAUACCACAUUGAAAUCCCUAAACCCUAAACCUCUAAAAUUAUUAAUUACAGAUUGAAUCGAGCGAGUACUUGUCUCAUACUUCUCCCAUUCCAAGUAACUAGAAACCAAGUCAAAUAAUUGAAUACUGGGCCGACCGCCAUCCAGAUUCUCCGCACUGAAUUCAUCCCAUUAACACUCGAAUAAAAAAAUUACAGGAAAUUAAGCUCACGACCGGAAGUGUCCCUACUGGUUGGUGGCAAAAGAUAUUUUCAUUAAUUAAUUAGAUUCUAAACUCAUAAAUCUCAAAGAUUCCCCACCGAUUGGUGCCAAGAUAAUUUCAAUGCCACGCAGACGGUCCAAUGAUUCAAAAGAUAAGCAUAGAUAGAAUAACCCAAUCAAAAAAUUUUCAAUUAAGCAUAACAUGAACGGCCAAAUCAUAUAUACGUACUCGGUACUGAAAUUACUAGAUUAACCUCGACUUCGAUUCGAAUUAUUACCACUUGUAUUCAGUUCUGUAUGGGCAUUAUUCCAAAUUAAACCCUUCAACCCUCGUGGUUAAAAUUGUGGUAGAAUUCUAGUGUUACACGUAAUAAUUACUGUGCCAAUUAAAAUAAAUUAGUAAAAUUCACCACUACGAUUUGAGCUCUUUAACUUGAUGGAAAUUACUGAUUUAAUAGAUCCGAAAUAUUAGCUUAAUUAAAUUUAUAUUGUAGAACAACAAACGUCCACUGAAAUUUGCUUGCAUUUUGUAGAGGAAAAUUUAAAAUGAAAGAACACAGGAGAUAUGCGAACGAAGAACUAUACUUCAUUUCUCAAACACCAUUUUUUUUUUCUUUGGGAACGAAAAUACAGGAAAAAGUAACAUAGUCAUCGAUCAAAAUUAUCGAGCGCAAAGAAAACACCACCAUCAUCAAACUAGAGAGAUUCAGAGAACCAGAUCCAGAAACCAGCUAAACCCUAAAACAUAUCAAAAAAGCAACACUAAAUUCCCAAACCCUAACCCUAAAAUUUAACUCCUCCAGCUGCCGCCUUCAGAGCCACCGCUGCCCCUGGAAUAGCGAGCGCCGCCGCCCUCACCACCUCCAUACCCACCUUCACGACGGCCACCACCGCCAUAUCCACCACCUCCACUGCCAUAUCCACCACCGCCGCCUCCACGGCUGUAGCCACCACCGCCACCUUCACGUCGGCCGCCACCUCCGUAGCCACCGCCAUAUCCCCCGCCGCCACCUCCGCGGCUGUAACCUCCUCCGUUACCGCCACCACCACCGCCGCUUCCACGAGACUGAGCCUCGUUAACGGUGAUGUUGCGGCCGUCGAGGUUCUGGCCGUUCAUGCCUUCGAUCGCGUCCCUCAUGGCCUUCUCAUUGCUGAAGGUGACGAAGCCAAAGCCCCUGGACCUCCCGGUCUCACGGUCGUUGAUGAUCUGAAAACACAAAAACGAACCAAAUCGAAUCAGAUCCGUCCAUAUAAUCAUAACAAAUACACAAAAUAUGCAAAAAUGAAAAGGAACCGAUCGAUCUUCAAUCUUUGGGAGAGAAAGAUGAAGAUGAACGUACCCGAUUUUGGGAGUGAGUAAUAAUAAGAAUCAUAUAGUAACAGAGAAUCAUAGAUCAAGUAACAUAGAGAAACAGAAGAUCAAGUAGCAGAGAGAGAACAACAGAUGGCCGCGAGGCCGAAUCGGGUCAGAUCCGAUCUCUGCGUCAAACGGACCUUCGAUUCGAUGAUCUCACCGAACGGAGAAAAGGCCCUCUCCAGCGCAUCAUUGUCGGUGGCCCAGGCGAGCCCUCCGACGAAGCAACGGAACUCGAUCUCGGCAGAGGCCAUUGCUAAAAAGUAACCGGAGAAAAGAGAACUGGAAUUUUUGUAAAGGAAGAAGAGAGCAAGAGAGCACG